rnacentral:lncRNA from 1 species
UUUUUUUUUUCUUCGCGUUUGCUUUGCUGAGUCGGUUGGUGGGCCGGCCCGCGACGCGUCGCUAGGAGCACCCCACGUCCACGUGUGUCCUCUUGGCGGCGCCGAAAAGAACGCCGGAAUGGCGGCGCCGAAAAGAACGCCGGAAUGGCGGGCCGCCGCCGCAGCACGCGCCUCAGCUCCCAGAGCGACGCGGGCGAGGAGAGCAACGGAGUGGCCCGCCGACGCAGCCCGCGCCUCCAUCCUCAAACCCACGCGAGCGAGGACGGAGCCGGAACGACGAUCCCCCGCAGCCGAAGCCGCCGCGGCAACCUGCCGGAGGCGCCUGCGUCCCUGCCGGACAUCGACGAUGUUCUCUGGGAGAUCCUCCUCCAUCUCCCGCCGCAGCCGUGCUCCCUCCCGCGCGCGUCCGCCGUCUGCAAGCGGUGGCAGCGCGUCGCCACCGACCCCCAGUUCCUCCGCUGCUUUCACGCCCACCACCGCCUCCUCGGCGCCUUCGUGUGCAGCGACCACGAGGUCGUGUUCACCCCCAACCUGGACCCUCCCGUCCGCACCCGUCCGGAGCGCUUCUGCCUUGGACGCUACGGCCUCCGCGACCGCCGCUACGACAUCUAUUUCCUCGGGUACCGCCACGGCCGCGCCCUCCUCAAAGACAUGCUGCAGGAAGAGUUCGUUGUGUGCGACCUCGUCACCGGCGAGCGGCGCUGCGUGGCCCUUCCACCGAAGCUUUCCUUGAACAGAGGGUGCAUCAAUGGGGCGGUGCUCUGCGCUGCCGGCGACCAGGGUCACGUGCACGACGGUUGCCACUCGGGGCCAUUCGAUGGUGUCCACCGGCAGAGACGACGAUCGAUCACUCGCUUGUGUUUAGUCUUCGCAGUCCGGCACUUGGGGCGAUGUCAUCUCAACCAAGCCUUCAUGUGCAGCUUGCCAUGCUUGUUCUCGCAGUAGCCCUAGCACCCUUGUUGGCAACGUCGUUUACUGGGCGCUUUCGCCGAUCAACCACGGCAUACUUGAGUUUGAUCUGAAUAUGCAGAGCCUAACUUUGAUCGAGGCGCCUUGGUGCGCCCACGAUUCGCACACAUAUCAGAUCAUCCAGGGAGAGGACGGCAUUGUCGGUCUCGCCGCAUUUUCUUACUCUAGCUUCCAAAUGUGGCAAAGGGAGGUUGACUGCCAUGGUGUCACCACAUGGUUGUUGCACAAGACAGUUGACAUGCAUAACAUUCUUAGACUUCCUUCUCAGAUCGAGUUAGCGUGGAGAGAGAUGGUAAUACUGGGGUAUGAUGAGGUUAAUGGUGUAACUUUUCUGUAUGCGGACCGCAAUGCCUACAUGGUUGAAGUUAAGUCAAUGCAACCGAAGAAACUUACUGGAACCCAUUAUUAUCAAUAAGUUUCAUCCUUUCACGAGUUUCUAUAUACCAGGUGAUUGCUCAUCUUUAAGCAUUAUAUUGCUCAUCCAAUGCAUUGUUUCUCAAAUAGUACCUUUGUUCUUCUUCUUAAGCAUUAAUUCACUAAUAAUUUAAGCUUAGUUAGAAAUUGUCCCGAUGCUAGAUAGAUGAACUUAUAGCCGCAACGGAUGUCAAAUGAGUAAAAGUGCAAAAUCAAUUGUCAAAGGUGUAACUCAGUUGGCAUGUUUGGGGCCUUAAAGCUAGUAAUAUUAUGUUAUUCAGUACUUCCAUUCCUUUUUGUCAUGGAAAUUCAUAGGGGACAUAGCCACGAUUAUGAUAUAGCUUUUCUUUAUGUUGAUGAGCUGGUCAUGAGUUCUAACACUUCAAACCCUUAUGUUGCAUAGGUUCUGCUAAUUAUGUUCUGUUUGUAUUUUUGGUUACUGACAGAGUGAUGAUUUUGUUUUCUUUAGGUGGAGGACCGGCUGCUGCAGUUUUCACCGAGUUUGUCGCAUUGGAUCAAUGUGGUCUGAAAUACUUUUAUGUUGUCUGAAGGAACUUACUGAACAUCUGCCCUGCUCUACUCAAGUUCGAAAGUAACAAGAUGCUUCUGAAUCGUUAAUCCAGGAAAUUUCAGCUUCGCCAAUGUGGUCUGAAAUACUUUUUUUUUCACGUAUGUACUUAGCAGCUCCGGCUCUUAUCUUCAGUGGCUAACCAUCAUCAGACAUUAAAAAAGAAUCCUCGCAAAAAAAAGACAUUAAAAAAGAAGCAAGAACGGUACAUCGAUAAAGAAAAAGGGCAGAACAUUACUCAUUUCUCUGCAGAUCCUGUUAGAUAUGAACAAUUGAUCCUCUUCUGAGGAGUCGGACUACCUUUUAUUCUUCUUUUCAUUUACAGGACGACCAAUUUGGUCGGAAACACACACCCACAACCCAAUCCCUAUUAUGCAUCAAACUGCCACCCCUAUCUGCUUCUGUACAUUCUGGUAACUUGUCUGAAAUUACCGGCAUUGCGCCUUGAGCUAAGAACAGCAUGUUCACUCACAGUCCAGGGUUCUUCAUUCAACAAGUGCUUUAUCUCUCCAAUAAAAGAUGAUCAUCUACCUCUACAUUGGUGAAUGUUAGAGCCUUAUGAAACUUUCUUUGGCAUAAAACUUCAACCUCGGCCAUGUAGACAGCGGACACCGGGCGGUGAUCCGAAAGAUUAAGCUCCACCCUUCUGUAAGAAUCCAACCUGAUGCCCAUUCCAUAUGAAAGAAUCCGAUCACACCUACAGAAGUAUGCAACAUUUAUUUAUCCUGGGUUCUAAUGCCCAAACAUGAGCUAUGAUGGAUCUUAUCAGAUUAAAUGUGCGAAACAAAAAGGCAGGACCUUAAUUAGGCAGAUAGCAUACCAUGCAGGUCUUCUUCUUGCGGAUAUUGGCUCGUCACCCGCAUACUUAUCUGAAUUAAAUUCGUAUUUAUAUGUUGGGGGGAAGCUAAUCACCCCUUCGAUCCAACCGUCAAAUGUACGCCCUUUCGUCAGUUCCCAUUUUAGCUGUCACAGCAAAAGCGUGAGCUGGAAAUACUACAGGUAGUAAUUUAUGUACCGAACCAUUAAAUUACCUGAUCAUUGUCAAACAAUAAAUCCCAUUCCUGUCUGGAGAUAAGUUCAUGUGUUCUUUCAUAUGAUAGGUUGAUUCGGUAGUUGAGAUCCCCAAACCAUAUAAUCUUUCUGAAAUUUAUGAAAUGGCCGCAUAUGUAAGCAAUUGAGAAAAUGAUUGCAUUGGAGGAUAGCAAAGAUUCAGGCGACACAAAUUUGCCGACUUACUCAUGGUCAUGUAUUCCCUUAGGCAUGCUGACUCUAUGAACUGGGUUAAAUACCGUUCUUCGAAGGAUUUCUUCAACAUCUGCAUUUCUCUUUGUUAGAUUUCCAUCCUUUUCACCAGAUGUAAGGUGGCAACAUACAAAACAAAAGGGUGUCUGAUAUAUAGACAUGCUGGCUGAUAUUGAUCCCUGGAGCAUUGCAGAAACAAAUGUCAUCAGAUGAUUUUGUAAAUCAGAUAGUAUCCGACGAGUGUAUUCAUGCUGAAUCUAAUAAGAACUGAUAUGAGAUGACAAGGCAAGUCAAUGAAAUGAAAACUUCGGCAUGAAGUACAAAUGAAUGCAAAAUGAGUGAUGAGAGAAAAUAAGAUCAAGUUUGGCACUUGCCUUGUUACCAAUGUAACCCAUCGCGCCUACACCUACAGUUGAUACUCUCAAAUUCUGAAUGUGCCUCCUAAGGCCUCUCUGAACCCACACCGAAAGAUAUAUUCCGACCAUUUGCUUGCUUAUUAUCCGUACAAAAUUUGAAUUUUUCCUCUUAACGACUCUAUUAUCGGUACUAACAUCAUGGUCUAGAUUAUCUUCUGGAAAACCAUUAGAAUUCUCAUGUCUCAAUUUGAAAGACGCAGAAGCUGUUCGAGUCUUCACUGAAGUAACUGAUGUGCUGUCGUGAAUAAGAUGAACCUGCAUAUCCAAUUGUUGUUCAGGCCAAAUCAUUCCAGGCCUUUCCAAGUGACCAGCUUGGUUGUUUGGUUCUUUCAGAUUAGAUCUAAAAAGCGUAUGACUUGAGUUGUGGGAGUGAUGGGAAGUAUUUACUGGAAGCAUCUUGCUGAAGUCUUCGCCUUCGUGAACUCUUUCACUGGAAGCAGAGGUGGAGUAUUCAUAUGUUCUACAAACGCCACUAUCAUUAGUAACUGGAUUAAUGUCUUGUCCAAUCAAUGGAUGAAGUUCCCCCUCACUUUCAUUGUCGGCCUCACUAAGAAAAUCAUCUUCCAUCACAAGAUAAUCUGAUGGAUUGAACUUUGAUGGUGAAGGAGGAUCGCUGACACACUUGUGCUUUGGUUUAUAUGGACAUAUCUUAUUCAAAGUUUCACGAAUGAUAUGUUCCCAGACUGCAACUGGAUGGUCAUCUUCAGCACCGAAUAUAUUCCCAGCAUUUAGUGGGACAAUUUCUUGAAAUCUGAAAGAUGGUCAUAAAUUUCAUGGUAAAUAUAAACUAAGGGAAUGUUUGGUGCGGCUUGAACUGUGGCUUUAAUAAAAAGCAGGGCCAUGGGCCUUUCAUCCAAAAUAAUGGCAGUAGUGCACCACAACAAAUCACAUCUUAGCCAAAUAAUAAGCUAAGGUGUGACACGGAUGAAAAAACUGAUUAGAUACCAGCCGAUAACCAAAUAUUUUUCAGAUACUCCCUCCGUAACUUGAUAUAAGACGUUUUCUGACACUGUCAGACACUAUGACAGUAUCAAAAAACAUCUUAUAUUAAGUUACAGAGGAGUAUGUUUUAAGUGGAUGAUCCAGAAACAGCUUUUUAAGAUUUCCCAAGAUUGUAACUGCUAUGCCUAUGUCAGAUUGUGACAGCUUAUUUUGUGUGAAUCUGUGCCACAUAUCUUCUUCCAAAAUAAGAAUGAACAUUCGUGCAAUCGAAAGUUUGUUAGCAGUGAUUUACCCGAGAACAUAAAUAUCAGCUGGCUCCUCCAUCGCCAGCCAUUCUUGAAUGUCUAAGUCAGUAGGUGGAACUCUGCCUCCAACAUUCCAUGUCCCUACGAAAAUCCUGCAUGUAAAACCUCGAAGGUUGGAAGCAAUUUACCGAGGGAGUAGCAUUUAUUAGCCUAAUUGUAGCUAGGUUCAAUUAGUUAGUAUUAAAUCUUUUGAAAUGUUUUAUGUGACAGAAACCAGGCAUAUGAGCUUUUAUUUCAGUAACCACACAGGAUGUUACGAAGAUGCUGUCAAAAAGGCCAAAGAUAAGAGGGGAGCAAUAUAUAAGUCUAGCUAUAUACCUGAGUUCAGCGACAUCGAUAUACUGAGCACGAAGUGUCUCUGAAUUGCACCUCUUAGGUCUGUCAGGCACAGCCUUCACUUGAUUACCUACAAAUUACAGCUUGCAUCAGCAUAUAAAGCAAUUGUCAACCCAGGUCAAACAGAUGCUUGUGUCAACGAAUGGCUUACCAAACAGUCGUUUAUGUAACAAAACAGGCUUCAUAGCAAGUCGAAACGCAUAUUAAAAGGCAUCCAGGUGCUUCCAAAUUAUCACGCAUAUAUUUCUUUGAAAUAUUUGGCUUUAUGUAAAGCCAGACCGUUUGUACUUUACCAUAAAAAAAGUUGUUUUGAAAUAUUUAUAUUUAUUCACAGAAAGUGGAAAAGCACUAUCACAUUUUUUGAUAUUUUUAUCACCACUACGCAAUGCCUAUUUGCUGGCAUGGAUAUAACGUAGGACCCAAUUCCUCUUAUGGGGAAAAUAUAUAGAAGAAAAUUGAACUGCCAACAACUGUUUUGUCCAUAUAUUCUUCUCCAACAAAUGAGAUAACAAUUAAAUUACCAAUCGUGCCCGCACCAAGUCCACGCGAUCUCCUUUCCUCAUCAUACAGCUUGUGUUCCCAACAGCAGCACUUCUCUGCACAAAUGGAACGAACAUGGCAGUCAGAACACGUAUGAUGAUCGAUAUCAAUCUGCAGAUUUAAGCUGAAUAAACCUAUGCAUAUAAAGCGCUAUGGAUUUACAUGGCACAGUACAAAUUAACAGACAUUCUUUGCUCUUUUCCCCUUUCUGCAUCAAAGGGGCAGCCUCGAAAAGGCGGUGUUCAAAAGCGGCCAAACUUUUCGCUAACCCUUUUGGCUCAAGCAGGCUUUGAGACGAAACAAAAAAGGCAUCAGGAAUUUGGAAUCCUCAAACUCCUCGAACCAAACCUUUCUCCUGGUUAAAAAUGUCGAGUAUGGCAAUAUGCCAAACGAAAACGGUGGUCUGCAGAAAGUGGAUUAGCAGCCGGACAUCACAGUGGAGGUCGCCAUCGACCAGGUAGAUGACCCAUACGGCACUCGUGGCCAUUACCCAUACGAAACUGAACUGGUGGCGCUCAUGAUGCUGCAGCACGAUGAACUCAGACGAGAAAGCGACCAAUGAACAAUUGAGCUGGCAAUUAUCCAUUGUGAAGCUAUCUGCGUUGCGAAUUCGCAAUGUGGUUGUCUGCACUCCAAUCCCCACACAAGAAAUCCCCCCAUCUUGCUUCGAAGCAGAGCAGAUCGUGCGCAGGAAAUGGGGGAAGGGGUCACUGAAGAAGAGAAGAGAUGGGCGGACCUUGGUGGCCGGGCUCCUCGUCGUCGUCUGCCUCGGCCUCGGCCUCGUCGGCGCUGAAGUCGGAGUCGCCGGAGCCGGCGCCGACGUUGAGCCACUUGCGCAGCACCACCCUGCGCCACAGCCGCUCCGCGUCGCCGCAGCCCGCGCCGCAGCACAGCAGCGCCGCCUCCGCCCAGCUCCGCAUCACCCCCUUCGCAGCACAAACAAGAACCAUCAGCAAUCUAUCACAAGCUAGUUCCCAAGCUCAAAUCGCCAAGAACCAGUACCUGCUCCUGCCGACUCCCACCGUCGCUCCGAGCAGCCGCGUCGUCCCGGUCCCGGUCAUCUUGCCAAGGUCGGAGCAACGGAGCCGCCGGGGAGGAGGAGGAGGACGCCAUUGCCGUCCGCCGGUUCUCGUCGUGACUUGUCUGCGGGGUCAUCUGGGUUUUGAAGCGGGGCGCCCCGACGACAGCCGUAUCUGUGGCGGAAGAGUUCGUGGGGCAAUUGNNNNNNNNNNNNNNNNNNNNNNNNNNNNNNNNNNNNNNNNNNNNNNNNNNNNNNNNNNNNNNNNNNNNNNNNNNNNNNNNNNNNNNNNNNNNNNNNNNNNNNNNNNNNNNNNNNNNNNNNNNNNNNNNNNNNNNNAUGGUUAAGAUAGCGAGCCAGCGAGGAGUACCGGCGACCCGUUCGGCUCGUCGCCCGUCGUCUCUUUCUUAACAGCUUUGCCUUGCUCCUAACCGUAUCAUUAUCUCAUCUCUGUUUUUUUUUAAUAUUCUCUAUUUUUUAAGGGUAUCUUAAUAACAACAUCUUCAACUCGAAAAAAAAAUCAAACAACGACAUGUUUUUCUUUUCUUCUACGAGCUGGUUUCGAGUAUUUUCAGCAUUUUCCUUUUGCCGCCAUGUGCAUUUCAUUCUUUUUUUUUUAGAACAUGUGCAUUUCAUUCAGGAAGGCGUACUUUGUUGCUGUAUAUAUUCCUGAAAUAUUUGUCAUCAAAUAUAUCUUCAUUCCCACGUUUCGUGCGAAGCAGAACUGCGGCAUAAUUUAAAGAAAAACAGAGUACACGGAAGACCCACACGACAUUGACGGGAUGGUUGAUGUUGUCGUUUCCUUUCCCUUGCCUCGGUGGCUUUCAGAACCUGGUUUUAGUCGAGAUGUUUUGUAUGGUUGUCGUGGUUUCGUUUCUAUGAAAUGGAGCCUCCCGGGGGGCUCCCCUUUGAUCGAAAAAAAUGAUUCGACGGGAAAUGCAUUAGGCUCUGUUUGCAGUUGUUGAGCUGCAGCAUACUAUACUAAACUUAAUUUAUAAUAAUCUGUUAUGAAAAAACAGUCGUGAAACCAAUUAUCUAGUUAGCCAAAGAGAACAAUUGACAAAGAACUGAUUGGAAGAACUGGAUUGUCAUAAUCCACCUCAAUCAGCCUUAACUGACCUAACUGCCUAAGCACAUCAUUGUACAGCAGCGGUGUGCUGGAUUUGGCCCAAUCGUGUGAAUUAGUUGUAAUUUCCAAUGAGUUCCAGGGAAAAGAAACACAAAGAGGUCCUCAAUGAUUCGGCGACCGAGCAUCCCUCCAACAUGAUUGAACUCGAAGCAAAAUACUACUACUACAUGUACCCGGACUUCGGUAGAGGAUGAAAUCGUGCAGGAAGCGAGUGCGCAACGCAUGUUUAUUUUCCUAUUCAGGGGACGACUAACCCGGCCUCUUGGCAUGGUUGACUACUACAUACGGAUGUAUGUAGACAUAUUUUAGAGUGUAGAUUCACCAAUUUUGCUUCGUAUGUAGUCACUUGUUGAAAUGUCUAAAAAGACAAAUAUUUAGGAACGGAGGGAGUAUAUACUAUGCUGUUGCGCUGACUAUUAGCUUGCAUUCUCAUACAUGGAAAAAAUAGUGGUGGAAACAAUGCUUCAGCCAGUUAAUGAUCAUCUUCUUCUGUGCCUGCAGAUGGUGGGAGCCCAAUAACGAUAGCCGAUAAUGGCUAUAGUUAAGUUCGACCUUGAUAUGAUUGAUUAAUUACAACAGUCCAAGAUCUCGAUAAAAGCAGCCCUUGCCUAAUGCCAAUAAUCAAACUGCCCCUCCCGAUUACUUGCUCUGAUUAUCAUCAAUCACAGGUCUGAACCAUUCCUAGCCAAUAAGCAGCAAUUUGACAGAAAUUAUAAAGGGGAAUUAGGCAAGUGGCAACAGAGGUCGGCAAAGAGGCAUGGCCACACGCAACACAACGCAGGUCGCCGUGGCGAAUGGACAAGGUGAUGUUGGGCUGGAUCGGAUCACUUUGCAGAUACCACCAACGCUUAUCAGCUGGACUUUUCUUUUCUUCUCCAUAAAACGUGCAAGCAUGGAUCAGCCAACAACACUAUUUUUCUCUUCAUCAGCGAAGACUAUCAAAAGUGCGAAAAAGCCAGGCAACAUAAACCAUCUAAAUUGCUAGUGAAAACGAACAGCCGAGAAAUCGAGGGGCGUUGAUAAAGGGUUCGGGUUGAAUCCCCAGGAUAAGCGACAGCAAGUGCGAAAUUGGCUGCAAAGAUCUGAUGUAUCCCCCAUCAUCAUGCAACAAAACACAAGAUUCUUCUUGCCCACACAACAAAACAAAAACCGUUCGCUAUAUUAUUUCGCUGUCAGUCACAGGCCCCUUGCCUUCAAAGGAGAAGCAGAUAGCGCGCGCAUGUUAAAAGUAAACAGACUUAGAAUCAUCCACUUGUCAAGCCUCGUGAUGGACAGGCGGACGACUAGCCCGAUGGCGCGUCCACAGACGGAGAGGAGUCGGCGCUUUUCUGGGCUUCCAGAGCUGCAAGCCGCUUGUCGAGAGCCUUGUAACGGGCGUCCAAGUGGUCGUGCAGACCUUUCACCUGCAAAAGUUGUGAUUUAAAGAUCAGAUGCUUAUCUUCAACCCAACGAGAAUCAUGCAGGUGUAUAGUGGAAAUGCAGAGGGAGCAUGGUUAACAAACACCACAUGUAUAGAAACCUCAAUCUUAAAGCCCAGACAAUGAUUGCAUUUCUUAAAGCCAAUGACAUGUAAAAGGCAACUUUACUUAUGAAAAACAUUCACAGCUAAGCUUUACCUCGGGAAAAAAACAUCCUCAACUAAGGUUACAAAGCCCAUCCCACAUUUCAAACAAUUUCUUGGGAAAACUAUACAAACACGUGUCUUUAUCGCAUCUACCUGGACAAAUUUGAGCCUUUCAUCUAUGAAAUUCUACCUAUUUACAUGAACUACUGAACAAUCCCACCAGUGCAUACCGAAUGACCAUGGUAAAUCAAAUAUGGUGAAUUAUCCUAGUGUUCUUCUCAUAUUUCAUUGUCAGGAUAUCUAGUGUUCCAUCAUUCUGAUGAAGUCACCACAAUUUCAUACCGGAAGGUAGGCAAAACCACCAACAUUCUUGUUGAUGAGAGGAACAGACCAGCUUCAAGAGUUGUGAUAUAUCAUAUAUGUAAUGUUCAAAAUAAUAAUAUAUGGUCUAUACUUGAGUUUACUCUGAAAAAAAAACAUCUAUGUUUGUGCAAAUAUAUGUUGGAACUUGCAAGAUUGGUUGAGUCUAUGAAACUGAAACGCUCCUGAGAUAUGCUGCAUCAACGAAUGCCAAACCACAACAGAGGAUCGAGUAAAAUUCAACAAUAAUAAAUGCCAUGCUGUUAACACUAGAUGCAUUUCCAAAUUCAUGUUCGCGUCCAUUCUACAUUGUCAAGACAUGAUCGUCUUGUAAUGUGCUAAGGGACUGCAGAAAACAAUGUUUUCACUUACCAAUCAAAUAGGCAUUUCAGUGUGUGGUAUGAGAUAAUUAUAGAACAGUACAUAUCCAUCAAUCCACCAUCCAGAGGUCAAGUUGCAGCAAACUAGUCACAUGCAUUUAGACAAGACAACACAUGACUAGAGAACUUCAGAAGUACACCAAAAGAUAUUGACUCUCUCCUAGGCAGUCCCAUGUCCAAUUGCUUGCCUGAAACUAUGAACAAAGUAUGACGACCAUGCGUCGACGUAACAUUAUACCUCGGAUCCUAUUCAAAUCAUUGUACCCCUCCUUUUUUUUUUAGCAACCAGACAGCAGGAGAGGCUCCUACGGUCAAUAAAUUUAACUAUACUAGUUACAAAUAUUUACAUGGUCACUUUGGACCCAAAGUCUCACCAGAACAAAGGUUUAAACAGAGAUAGAAGUGAUAACUUAGUCUAAAAGUUCAGCAAGGCUAGGGGAUAACUUAAACUACGAUUUACCCCUGAGAUCAGAGCAAGCUACAAACCACUGAACUGCCAAACAGACCAUUAGCUUGGUAAGCCAAAGACACUACAUCACACGAAGUGGAACUGGAACUGUCAGCCAUAGAGGUCCAAACUCAAAACGACAUUUCUGGUUACCCGAGCACGGCUUGCAGAAACUAGGCAUGGUGAUUUGUAGGCAGACAGACAGAGCACAAGUUGUAAUAAUCGAAUGAAAUGUGGCACUACAGGCAUCCCCAAGUAUAUAAUCAGCAAACGACAUGGAUAUCUAUCACUGGAUACGUUCUCCUGGUGCCUAUCCAAGUCCGAUGCUGGGGGGAAUUUUCAGGGCAGACCAAUGAUGCCAACAGCAACAUGAAUACAUGAUCUACAAACAAGUGGUUUCCUCGACCCGCGUCAGGAAAUCAAAUCAGCACUGCGAUCCAUCCUUCACAGACGNNNNNNNNNNNNNNNNNNNNNNNNNNNNNNNNNNNNNNNNNNNNNNNNNNNNNNNNNNNNNNNNNNNNNNNNNNNNNNNNNNNNNNNNNNNNNNNNNNNNNNNNNNNNNNNNNNNNNNNNNNNNNNNNNNNNNNNNNNNNNNNNNNNNNNNNNNNNNNNNNNNNNNNNNNNNNNNNNNNNNNNNNNNNNNNNNNNNNNNNNNNNNNNNNNNNNNNNNNNNNNNNNNNNNNNNNNNNNNNNNNNNNNNNNNNNNNNNNNNNNNNNNNNNNNNNNNNNNNNNNNNNNNNNNNNNNNNNNNNNNNNNNNNNNNNNNNNNNNNNNNNNNNNNNNNNNNNNNNNNNNNNNNNNNNNNNNNNNNNNNNNNNNNNNNNNNNNNNNNNNNNNNNNNNNNNNNNNNNNNNNNNNNNNNNNNNNNNNNNNNNNNNNNNNNNNNNNNNNNNNNNNNNNNNNNNNNNNNNNNNNNNNNNNNNNNNNNNNNNNNNNNNNNNNNNNNNNNNNNNNNNNNNNNNNNNNNNNNNNNNNNNNNNNNNNNNNNNNNNNNNNNNNNNNNNNNNNNNNNNNNNNNNNNNNNNNNNNNNNNNNNNNNNNNNNNNNNNNNNNNNNNNNNNNNNNNNNNNNNNNNNNNNNNNCGAAGAGGCGAAGAGAAAUUUCCAAAAAAUUAUCCCGCGAGGAGAUAGCGCUGGAGCAUCACAGCCGCUGACCGCCACGCCGCUCGCUCGCUCGCUCCCCGCGAGCUCGCCUCGCCUCGCCAUGCCGCCGCCCUCGCUCCUCUCCCUCCUCCCCGCCGCGUCGGUCUCCGCGCGGACCCGCCGAGCCAAGCGCAGAGCCCCUGCCGCGAGCCUCCGCAUCCCCGUCCUCCUCAGCGCGCGAGCUCCCACGCCGCUCCGCUCCCUACCCGCCUCCUCCGAUGUGGUCGAGGGCGGGGGUGGAGGGGGAGGAGGCGAGGAGCUCCACCUGCUCGACAAGCCGUUCCCGUCCCCCUCCGCGCCGGAGGAGGACGAGCCCGAGCCGGAGGCCGCCCCGGCGCCGUCCACGGCCGAGGCGCUCGCGCCCUACCUCAACUUCUUCCAGGUGAAGGGCGCCGACGCCUCCGCCGCCGGGAAGCACGCCUCGGAGGACGGGGCCGUGUCGGCCGGGCGCGGGGUCAUCUACUACGACCCCAAGCCCGGGGACCUGGUCGUGGGCGUCGUCGUCGGGGGCGACGCGCGGGCAAUCGACGUCGACGUCGGCGCCGGAGGCGAGCCGGCGCUGAUGCUGACCAAGGAGGCGGCGCCUGCGUCCUCGGAGGAGUUCGCUUACCUGGCGUGCGACGUCGCGUCGGGCGGCGCGAGGGAGUUCGCCGCGGAAGGCAGGGUCGGCGUCGCGGCCGGCGGAGUGGGCGCGAGGGUUGGGAGGACCGGGAAGGAGAAAUGUGCGCCGGUGGUGGGCGUUGGCACGGUGGUGUUCGCCGAGGUCCUCGGCCGAACACUUGGUGGGCGGCCGCUGCUGUCUUCGCGAAGGCUGUUCCGGCGCGUCGCGUGGCACAGAGUGAGGCAGGUCCUCUAUGACUCUCCUCUCUAUUGUUGUUCUUGGAAUUUGAUGAACUGGUCUAGUAUUAGCCAUGAUUUGAUCGUUCAAUGUAUGUUUUGAUGUGCACUGUCAGUAGUUCAGUACCAGAUACAGAUAUAGUUUGUUUGAACAUAAUGCAGUACAGAUACUUCAAACACCACUACUAAUGUAGUGUGUAUUAUUAGUAUCAGGAAUAGAUCUGCAACCCCCGAGUCAUGGCCGCCGUCUUGCUUGUACCAAGUAGAUUUUUCAUAUACUGGCCGGCCUAUCUAAAACCUCGAGCUAUUAAAGCAGUGUGAUAUAUAUCUUGCUUGUGGGUUAAUAGGCAAUUAUGUACAAUCACAGCUUGCUCCUGGGUUAAUACACAAUUUUGUCUUCAAGGUUCUUAGCAUGGCAUGAGUCAAAAUCAUUUGCAGCCCAAAAUAGAGCAUCUCAUGUUUUUGUUAAGAACAUAGAGUGAUUUCAUGCUCAAGUACAUGAAGAAAUGGUUGGUAUUACAUCAUAUGAUCAUGAGACCUUGUAAUCUUCCAACUAAUAACAACGUACAUGCAUCCGUCAUUCAGCCUAUUGUAUCGUAAAAUUGAUGUUUCACAUCUUGGAUGCAGAGUAGUGCAAUGGAAAAAUUUGUAGGAUGGAAAACCCUUGUUUUGGUCAUAUUUUCUCGAUGACAAUGGAUGAUUGGACAUGACUGUGACCUAUGAAGUUCUGAGUUCAAUAGCUAUUAUUUUUAUUCUGAAUAUUUUAUAUAUGACAAUUUCUGUACAUACUGAUGUCCAGAUAAAGCAGCUAAAUGUACCUAUCAAGGUUAAAAUUUCUGAGUGGAAUGCUGGAGGCUUGUUGUCAAGAAUUGAGGUACGAGUUACUCAUAACUUCAAUGGAUUACAUUACAGUCCACUUUUCAAAAUUUGUAGCUAAAACUCACAUCCAUUAUUCCAUCAUUUAGGGGCUCCGGGCCUUCCUACCUAAGCCUCAGAUGAUGACUAGACCAAGAAAUUUUACAGAUCUAAAGAACAAUGUAAGACGCAUGAUCCCUUUUAUCUAAUUUUGUCAAGUUAUUGUCAAUAAAGUCGCUGUAACUUGUGAAUUAUAUUGUUUCUUCUGCACAGGUUGGUCGACAGAUACAUGUCUGUAUUACAAAGAUUGACGAAAGGACUAACGAAUUAAUAAUUAGUGAAAAGGAGGCUUGGGUAAGUUAACUGCAUGUUUAUAUGGGCCUCUGUUCAGUCUGUUGUCCUUACCUGCACCAUUCAUGUGUUUUUACUGUGGCUCUUCAUAGUAGAUCAUCUUGGUCCAUCAACUUAUUGAAUUGGCUAAAGACACAAACUUAUGCAAGAAAUGUUUAUUUAAAUAGCUUUUGCUGCAGUCUACAACUUGUGAUAAAUACACCUGAAGUAUCUAUAUCAAUUGAAUAGUACAGCACGUUGAUCAGAUUUUGACUUGUAUAAGAGAACAAUGAGCACCCUUGAGUUCUUCUGAAUAAUUUUGAUUUUCGGUACUUCUUUUAGGCAAUGUUAUACCUUAAAGAAGGGGCUCUCUUGGAAGGGACAGUCCGCAAGUUGUUCCCAUAUGGUGCACAAAUUAGGAUUGGGGAGACUAACAGAAGGUAAUAUCACUAAACUGAACUGAAACCACAACACUUAUUUUUGAACGGAGGGAGUACAUACUAAAUAUUGCAUUUCUUCUUUUCUGCCAAAGUUCAUUUUACACUUGAAAGUUGAAGGAGCAUACCUUCCAGUUCCAUCAUUUCAUUAGUAGCUGCUGAUAAGUUUCUUUUUGGCCAUAUUCUCUUAUAGUUGUGCAUAUGUUUUAGUAUGGCUUACUCCUAUUUUAUGACAAACAAAGAAUAUGUUUACCAAAUAAUUUAGAAGGUGGCUGUUACCACAAUAUUUUAAAAGCUUUGGCAACAUUGAUGAUGUUAAGUCUUGACUAGAUUAUACAAAUAUAAUUGUCAAUCUUGCUCCUUUUGACAUUCUUAACUGGAUUACCUGAACAAAAGAGUUAUUGUUAAUUUUAGUGAAACAUGAGAUUCACUGACUAGCCUUCACACUGAUGAGUUCCAUUGGAAAUUCUGAUAAUUCGCCAGAUAGUGAGUCUCUCUUCUUUUAUCAAUCUCCUGGCUUAGAUUAUGAGCGAUUGCCAUGUGCUCUAGCAAAGGGCUUGCCUUUGGAAUAUGUACUUUCAAGUAUUUACAUGCCAUGCUUCACUUCCAUUUAUAAUAGAUCAUAUAACUUCAAGCAUUUGGAGUAUGCAUCUUUCCUUUCAAAAGGUAUUCCCUCUGUUCCAAGAUGUUCUUACUUUUUUCUGAAUCGGAUGUAUAUCGAUGUGUUUUAGUGUGUUUGUUCACUCGUUUCAGUCCGUAUAUGUAGUCCAUAUUGAAAUAUCGAAAACAUCUUAUAAUUCGGAAUGUAGGUAGUGCGGAGUAUUAUAGACAUCACUCUGUUCACUUGGCAAGCUUGUGAACAAUGUAUAGGUGGGAACAUUUCAGAUGUUUAAUUUACAGCUUGUGAUGCUUCUGCAGUGGUUUGCUGCAUGACUCAAAGAUAACACACGGUCAGCUGAGAUCCGUCAGUGACGCGCUCAGCGUGGGCGAGAGAGUGAAAGCGCUUGUGAUCAAGUCGACGACGCCAGACAGAAUUGCUCUUAGGUAUGCCGAAAGAAAAACUCGCAAAAACUAAAAACCAUGUAUGUGCAGCACCGAGAGCUCACGUGUUUCGGCUGUGUGCAGUAUUAGGGACCUUGAGAGCGAGCCUGGACUGUUUCUCUCCAACAAAGAGGUAAGAGCACCGCCUCUUUGGCUCUUCAGUUUUACAUACUACUCCCUCCGUCCGAAAAUACUUGUCAUUGAAAUUGAUGUAUCUAGACGUAUUUUAGUUCUAGAUACAUCCAUUUUUCAUCCAUUUUGAUGACAAGUAUUUCCGGACGGAGGGAGUAUAUGUGUCAAGCUGCCAAUGGUGAAGGUAGUCACAUUUUUCAUUUCCUCUGGUUUCCGCAGAAGGUGUUCGCCGAGGCUGAAGAGAUGGCGCGAAGAUACCGGGAGCAAAUGCCGGCGACGCCUCGGUCUGGCGAGGGGCCCGACGGCGGCUACGACGAUACCGUCCCGUUCGAGGACGAAGCGGAGUCGUACGCCAACUGGAAGUGGCUGAAGUUCAUCAAGUCCGACAGAGCAGACUGUAACCCCAGUGUCACCGAAUCAUCGGGAUUGUAACGCAGGAAUACCGAUUGCUUCUGCACAAAUUUUGUUCAGUCCAGUGCUGGUCAGCCUCACGGUAUUGAUGAGUGCAUCGCAAGAUGAGCUCAAAGGUGUCGGUGAGCGGCACGCGGCACGCGGCGCCCCUGAAUCCCCGAUCGAUCGCAGGUCGCUGUUUGCCGUGCCUUGGUUGCUCUGACGCGCACUGCUCACCUUCUCGUCGCCGUGUGUUCCAAGCCUGGUCAUCGUCGUGUCUAUUGAUCACAACAGUGAGGGAGAACGUCGCACAGUGGCCGACUGACAACCUUGGAAUAACCUGCCGGUGCGUGCAACAACCCAAAGCCUAUAUAGCAGCCGACCCAUCGUGUCAACAGACGAUCGAUCUGUAAGAGACGAAAGCGAGAUCCUAACCCGAGGCUAAAAAAGUUUGUUCUUGUUGGGCCUAUCUAUUCUAUCAUCGCCGGCCACUGAGAUUCCUCAGGUGUCACGUCGCAGACACUUCGGUUCGGUUCAGUUCAGGCUUCUCAACAAAGCUCCAUCUGCGUACCUACUGAUUAGUUUAUGGGGGAAAUGCCAAGGGCGUGCUCCUCGUCCCUGAGAUGGUGACAUACACCACCGACCUUCAUUGAUCAUGCUAUAUGGACGAGUAUGAAAGUGGAUUAAGGUAGCAGCCGUGAGCGAGGAAAUUACUGUAGCAAGCGACCUCUAUAUUUUAGUGAUCCAAAAGCUCUUAUAUAUGUUUACAGAGGGAGCGUUAGUAGCGUCAGGAAACAUUAUGGGACGCAGGGAGUACAUCGCAAUCGUCCUCACUCUUGCGCCCUUGCGUACUCAUAAUCAGCUAGCUGUAGCCUAUAGCUCUGGACUGAUCUGUACGUGUUUCACCUUUCCUAGUGGUUAGCUAAUACUACUCUUAUACAGUACUCAUCGCCUGCAGCUAUGGAUCUCGAUUGACUUGUACGUAUUUCACCUUUCUUAGCGGUUUACUGAUACUGGUAGUAUACAGUACUCACCGAGAAAAAACUACUACUGCACAGUAUAUGAUGCACGUACGUACGUGCCCUAUUGGGAGAUUGAAGACGGGCACCGUUAAACUGUGGUGGCACGUACCGAUCGAGAAAAUUACCACGAUUAAUUGGGCGAUCAGGGUGGUACGCAUAUGUUAGGAAAUAAACCGUGAUGCGUGUGUGUCCACGGUCACCCCCCUCCUCGUGUAAAACAAGAAACCGGCCGGCCGGACUCCUCUUUUCCUUUCAACCUGGAUGAUGGGUUCUCCUUUUACUAGCAUUGACUCUCUUUUUCAGUUUUUCCACACGAGUGGUUGAUGCAUCUUGUUUUCUUUCUUGAUACGGAAGCAGGCAGUUCACCGAGGAGGCGGGUACUCCUGGUAAGGCAUUUCAUCGAUGCCUCCCUUCCCUUACUCACAGCUCAAUCUCCCUGGCUAUAUAGCAUGCGGUAGGUUCCAGUGCUGGAGUAUGCAUCGAUCGUACGUGCACACGUGGAAUUGAUUUCCACCACGUAACCACCGAAGCCGACCGCCGGAGGGUUAACUGAACCAGACCGGUCGGCCCUAUGGAUCGUCAAUAUAUAGCACUCCCUCCGUAAACUAAUAUAAAAACGUUUAGAAUAUUAUUAUAAUAUUCUAAACGUUUUUAUAUUAGUUUACGGAGGGAGUAUAUAUUAAUUCCGUUCGUGCGCCGCCAUGGACAACACGGUCACGGACACAGCCACGCGCCCGUGCGUACCCCCGCCGUGCUAGCUGGGGCCAUGCAUAUGCACGCGUCGCCGGCCGGGGCGCUCCGCCGAGCAGCACGCCGUCGCGUCGCUGCUCAUGUGCUCGCCAUACCGCUCGAAUAUCUACGUGACACCGACGUACCAUGGGGUGGCCCUGAGACCGUGUACACCAACCACUGAGCUCACGGUCAAGCGCCGUUACAUCAAAGGUCCAAAUCCGAGAGCCAUUUGGCCGGGCCCGUAACGUUGCCUGCCGGCGUGCCUCACCUCGCCGUAAAACGACUCGCGCGCGUCGAGGUGAUGGAGCGAGCUCAACGUCCCUUCCACCUGGCCGCCGACGAAAGAGCUGGCUGGCUAAUCAAUAUCGAUCCAUCAGUCACGCAUGGAUGCGCGCCUGGUAGCGUCGUGACGAUUAGAGGAUCCAAACGUGCCCUGACUAAUUAGCGUCCCGGUCGGCGUUGCACGCUAGCCCAGCCCCGCGAUCGAUCGAUCGAUCGGCCCGGCCGGAACGACGUACGUACGUUGUUCGCACGUGAUCUUCCUUUCCUCCAUCUCAACGGCUCCUGAUUCCUUCGCUGUCGCACUUGGAUUUGCCAAUCAUGAUCCUAAACUGGUUUGUUAAUCAAGUACGGGGUACCCACAUUAUUGCUUCCUCCGGCCACCUCACUUACUUCACACCUCCCUCUCGCUCCACAAGCUUGUAUUAGCGUUUCUUCUUUGUAUUUCAUCUCCAAAAACGUCAUAUGGCAGUAUAAAGAACAUCGGUAAUGAAGAACACACCCACAUCCUAGACAACAUAUCAACGGAUGCGAACACUGCAGCGAGCUGAAUGCGCGCCGCUGUUAUCGGCCCUCUCUCGUCAGAGCCGGACAAACCUUGUCGUAAACAAUCAGAGAAUCCCGCUAAGGCCCCAUAAGACCAGUGCACCAGAACAGCAACCGUCAUCGAUUUCAAGCAAACGUAAAUCACAAGGAUCUAACUUGUAAACACACGAACACAAACAAACGAAUAAGGAUCCAAGCAGAACCACCGGAAACUAGUACCGAUCGAAUCCCACGAGGCCCAUUGGAGACACAUUUCAACACGCUCUGUGACGAUGCUAGACGCACCGCUGAGGCCGGGACUAAGCGGGGAGAACACAACUCGACAUAUGCAACUGGGAUAGGGUGAACACAACUCGACAUGUGCUAAUGGUAGCAUUGAAGGUUGUUGGCCUUCUGGAGUUAAUCAUGCUCUGAAAGAGCAGCCGACCAAAAUGUUUGACCUUGUUAGGUAACCUAUUACCCAAUAUCAUUCCAUCAUCGUCUUCAUGUGGUGUGUAGGUGGCCUUAGUGUAGAAUGAUCAAGCCAUUGACGAGGAACCAGCCGUCAUUGUCAUUGUUGCAUUGAGAAAUCACACAACAAAGUUAUCGACACAAUCAACGAUGCAGAAGCAAACUGAAGUUAUGUGAUUUCAAAGGUUAAAUUCCAACCCAGUUUCACAUGAUUAAUGCAAAAGUUUGUGUUUUUCAGUUCAUUCAUUCCAAACAAAUGUUGGAUAUUUUGUGGCACCGUGACGAACCGGAGUUCAAAACCCUAUAACCUCCAACAAACACAUUCAUGAUAGUGUUCACAAGGAAUACAAAAUCCAGUCACGAAACCUCGUAUCAGCACACCUCGCUCGUACUGACAUGGUGCACACAUGAAAUGAUAUGCAUUCUUUCUCUGAUAUAUAAAAAUAGAAACCAAAACACAUCAGGAUUUUGCCAUCAUGGCCAUGGAGGGUCCAUGGUUGAUUCUCCGCGAGAAAACAAAGAAAAGGAUUCCCCGGGGCUUCUAAACCGUCGUCCUUAAUCCACAAUCAUGAUAUCCAUUUAAGGCGUUAAUCACCGCACAUGCCGCGGGGCCCCACCACCCGACGCCCGCGUAAUCGAUCCCCCUUUGUCCCUACUUCGCCCACCCAAAUUCUACGCUUAAGCAUUUUGACUUAUGCAAAAAAAAAGUCGAACCCCAAAUGUUACCUCCAAUGUUAAACUUAAUUUUGUUUCUUUUUCACCAACGAAGCACAACUAUCCCGCUUUGCAUGAAUUUUUUCAAGCGUGCUUGUUAUACUAACAAUAACAUCUAAAAAAUAGAAUUUUAAAAUCUAAGUAUUUGUUUUGAAUUUACUGUUCAUCUGGGAGCAUUUGCACCCCAGAGCCAAAACGGCCAACCCGUUUUUCAGUUCGCUCAUUCUUUUUUUGAACGAAAGGGGUUGCCCCCUUGCCCCAACUUUUUAUUAAAAAAGCAAAGGCAACCAAAGAUCAGAGUUCACAGCUCUCGGCUCCAGCCAGAAGUAGCCACAGCAGAAUUAUUAUAGACGCAAGCAUCAACAGUCUGAAAAUCCACCAGAAAGCGACGAAAUGGCCCCUAUAGGAACUACCAGUGCAGAGGCUACGAACUCCCUACAGACGCAUCAAACGUGCCAUGCAAUUCUAAGCAACUCCCCGCGAUGAUGGUCGAGCAGCUUCAAGCAUUGGAGGAGUAGCACAGCUUGGGAGUCCACGCACAGGAUCUUCCAUUGAUAGAUAUGUCUCCCCACCAUCUCCAGCACACAUUUGAUGUUUCGCCAUCUUCGCCCCUGGAACACAAUUUCAUUUCGAAACAACCAUAAGCUCCAUAAGGUAGCAGCAGAAAUCAAGUUUACAUCAUCAAAACUUUUUUUCUUCCAAAAAGGAAGCAAAGAUUCAAACGAGUCAGGUACAGGCAUCUUGGUACAAUUAGCUAUCACCGGCCACACUUGUCUGGCCACCACACACUCAAAAAACAAAUGUUGGAUGCUCUCAGGUUCAUAGCGGAAGACACAAGUCAGGUCUUCCACAUGCCGGCGUUUAGCCAGAUUAUCCCUAGUCAAACUCUUAUUGUGCACAAUUAGCCAUAGAAACACAUGGAUAUUAGGGGGAAUUUUAAUUUUCCAAAUAUAAUCCCUCCAGAUAGAGACCAUGCCCCCCAAUUAAUCAUCUUAUACAUAGAUUUAAUAGAGUAUAACCCUUUACUUUCCAAGGACCAAAUAGUCUUAUCAGCCAUGUUGUUAAAAGGAACAUUUUUAAUCACAUUAAGUAGUUCAUUCCAGGAGCACAAGACAUCCUCAUUAACACACCUUCCAAAGGUCAGCUGUAAAUUCUCCCCAUCCCACACCUCGGCAACAGAGGCCUCUUGUUGUUGACAGAUCACAAAAAGAUCCCAAAAUCUAGUUUUGAGUGAACAAUCACCCAACCAGGUAUCAUGCCAGAAAGAGAUUUUUCUCCCAUUCCCAGGGAUCCACCUAUAAAAGGUUUUGGCAGCAGAGCAAGCCCAGGUGAAACUCUUCCAGAAGGGAGAGCCUACUCCAGCCUUAGCCCAUAGUAUAUUUGGUCUAUUCACAUUAUACUUGUAUUCUAGCAAUUUCUUCCAGUCACUAUCCCUAUCAUCAAAAAACGUUUACUCCAAGCAGCAAGCAAGGACAUGUUGAAUUCCCUGAGAUUAGGAACCCCCAAACCACCCCAUUCUUUCCUUUGAGAGACCAGCCCCCACUUGGCUAGAUGGUACUUAUGAUUGUCUCCAACAUUAUCCCAGAAAAAAUGAGCCAUUUGAGAAGUGAUAGCAUCAAUAGCCCACUUAGGAAAUUUCAUAAUGGACAUUAAGUAUGUAGGAAUACUAGCAAUACAAAUAGUAAGUAAAAUCAAUUUACCCCUAUAAGACAGAUGUCUGCCCAGCCACCCAGAUAUUUUCCUGAUAAUUCUAUCAAUAGUGGGUUGUAUAUCUUCUCUUCUAAGUUUCUUGAAGUGAAGAGGAACCCCAAGAUAUUUAAAGGGGAAAUCCCCAAUUUGGCAACAGAAAAUUUGGGCAAAUUCCUUAGCAGUCUCCUUGAGGGAGUCCUGGAUUAGGGGGUGUUCGGAUAGCCGGACUAUACCUUCAGCCGGACUACUUGACUAUGAAGAUACAAGAUUGAAUACUUCGUCCCGCGUCCGGGAGGGACUUUCCUUGGCGUGGAAGGCAAGCUUGGCGAUACGGAUAUGCAGAUCUCCUACCAUUGUAACCGACUCUAUGUAACCCUAACCCUACCCAGUGUCUAUAUAAACCGGAGGGUUUUAGUCCGUAGGACAACAUACACAUCAACAAUCAUACCAUAGGCUAGCUUCUAGGGUUUAGCCUCCUCGAUCUCGUGGUAGAUCCACUCUUAUACUACCCAUAUCAUCACUAUUAAUCAAGCAGGACGUAGGGUUUUACCUCCAUCGAGAGGGCCCGAACCUGGGUAAAACUUCGUGUCCCUUGUCUCCUGUUACCAUCCGGCCUAGACGCACAGUUUGGGACCCCCUACCCGAGAUCCGCCGGUUUUGACACCGACAUUGGUGCUUUCAUUGAGAGUUCCUCUGUGUCGUCGCCAUCAGGAAGGAUGCCUCGUCCCGUCUUUAAAGACGGCACCGCUGCUAAGGGAGCUUUGGCUGUCGGCCAAACCCUCCGGUUAGGUGGCUUUCUUAUAACCGCCUGUUCGGCUUCUGCGCCGAUGAUGACCUCUCGAGCCAUCGAAAACAAUCUUCAUGUCAACUCGGAACUCGCCGAGCAGUUAGAUCCAAUAGAGCUUUCCUCCAUAAACGAGCUCUUGGAUCGCUUCGCCGCCCUGGGAGUCGCUACGGAUUACGACCAAAUUGGGCCUAAAACCGAUCUGAGAGAGAUCAACUCUCCCCAAGUCACCCAUCACGUUGCCGUGGUAGAGGGACAGUGCGGCGACCCUUCAUCAAUCUUAAGGACUCGCUACGUCCGUAUUCCCGAUCCCUCCAAGCCGGAUACCCGCGGAGGGGAGGAUAUCACUCAAGACCUGAAGUUAGAGUCAGGCGACGGGCUGGAUUCAUUAGACAACAUCCAGGAAUCCAAAUUUUCGAGUUCAGAAAUUCCUCGGCCUCUGAGCCUUAGAUGGGGUGAGGCUUCGGAUUUAAUUCCACCCACCCACCCCAACAUAAGCGAUCUAUCCAAAAUCAGGCAAGAACCCGACGAAAUAGUACAUCAUUACUGGGCCAGAUUCCUCCUGGUUAAGAACAAGCUAAGGGACUGCCGCGAGGAAGAUGCAAUCUCAAUCUUCUGCAAUAAUUGCACGGACAAGGGAAUACUCAAUGCCAUAAGUCGCGGUGAUAUUACACGCUUCGCUGACUUGGCGUCCAUUGUACGAAAGUACUGUGCGAUGGAAAGCGCCUGGAAAACCGAAAUAAAAUUUUGGGACAAUCCGGCCCUGAAUACAAACCCAGUCCGAAAUAAAAGGAUGCAUCAUCACCAGUCACCCGGAUCAAGCACUAAAAAGCAAAAACCCUCUACAGGGCAUGGAACUGUACUGGAAGGGUGGCCUAAUGGACCCUGUAAAAUUCACAGUACAGAGGACGCCACACCAACUCACAGCCUCAGAGCAUGUUGAAAACUCCGGCAGGUGGCCAAAAUUGGCGAAAAUCUCCUAAUUCCGGAGGCCACAGAAAGCCACCCCAGAGACACCAAUAUGGUAUUAACAGUCUUCGAGACUUUUGCAUCAAAUAAUAUGCGAAAAAGGACACUCCACAGCCUCGCCAAAGUCUACCAAGUAGCAACAAUAAACCCAUGGAGCGACACGGCUAUUACCUUUAACGCCAGUGAUGAACCUAAAUUCCGAACAACCCGAGCACCAGCCGCAUUGGUCCUCAGUCCAAUAGUGGACGGAUUUCGUCUUACAAAGGUACUCAUGGACGACGGCAGCGGAUUGAACCUCAUUUACGAGGAGACUCUUCAAAAAAUGGAAAUAGACUGGAACCGCAUUGAGCGAAGCAGCACAACCUUUAGAGGAAUAAUCCCUAGUCGGGAAGCGCGCUGUACAGGAAAAAUCACACUAGAUGUGGUGUUCGGCACGCCGGAUAAUUACAGGUCCGAAGAGGUCACGUUCCAGGUGGCUCCGUUCAGCAGCGGUUAUCACGCUCUGCUAGGGUGGGAGGCAUUUACAAUCUUCCAAGCAAUACCCCAUUACGGGUACAUGAAGCUCAAGAUGCCCGGGCCUAACGGGAUCAUCACUCUCGAUAGUGAUCCGGACAUAGCACUCCGCGCCGAAAACAAGACAGCCGCACUGGCCCUCGAGGCACUAUCCGAAGCCCUAGCAGCUGAGGAGCUGACUGCGCUGCGCUCUAUGGUGAAUAGGGACGACGUGGUACUCGACAAAAGAUCCAAGUCGACCUCCUUUAAACCGGCGGAUGAAAUAGUCAAAUUCCAAGUCCAUCCAACGGACCCCAAUAAAACAGUUUCCAUCGGGGCACAGUUAAACCCUGAUGUCGACGCCGCAUUGCGAGAGUUCCUACGAGAGAACUGGGACAUUUUCGCCUGGCACCCUUCAGACAUGCCAGGAAUCCCACGCAGGCUGGCCGAGCACAGCUUAAAUAUCCAAACAAGAUUCAAACCUGUCAAACAAGCUCUUUGGCGUUUUUCCGAACCUAAGAGACAGGCCAUGGGAGAGGAGCUAGCAAAGCUAUUAGAGGCCGGAUUCAUCAGACAUAAAACAUCUGGACUGGCUAGCAAACCUGGUGAUGGUACCAAAGAAGGACAACUCCUGGCGCCUGUGUGUCGAUUUCAAAGACCUUAACAAGGCUUGCCCAAAGGAUCCCUCCCCCCCUCCCCCCCCGCAUCGACCAAAUUAUCGACGCUACUGAAGGAAAUAUGCCCUAGAGGCAAUAAUAAAGCUAUUAUUUAUUUCCUUAUAUCAUGAUAAAUGUUUAUUAUUCAUGCUAGAAUUGUAUUAACCGGAAACAUAAUACAUGUGUGAAUACAUAGACAAACAAAGUGUCACUAGUAUGCCUCUACUUGACUAGCUCGUUAAUCAAAGAUGGUUAUGUUUCCUAACCAUAGACAUGUGUUGUCAUUUGAUUAAAGGGAUCACAUCAUUAGGAGAAUGAUGCGAUUGACAUGACCCAUUCCAUUAGCUUAGCACCCGAUGGUUUAGUAUGUUGCUAUUGCUUUCUUCAUGACUUAUACAUGUUCCUAUGACUAUGAGAUUAUGCAACUCCCGUUUGCAAGAGGAACACUUUGUGUGCUACCAAACGUCACAACGUAACUGGGUGAUUAUAAAGGAGCUCUACAGGUGUCUCCAAAGGUACAUGUUGGGUUGGCGUAUUUCGAGAUUAGGAUUUGUCACUCCGAUUGUCGGAGAGGUAUCUGUGGGCCCUCUCGGUAAUGCACAUCACUUAAGCCUUGCAAGCAUUGCAACUAAUGAGUUAGUUGCGAGAUGAUGUAUUAUGGAACGAGUAAAGAGACUUGCCGGUAACGAGAUUGAACUAGGUAUUGAGAUACCGACGAUCGAAUCUCGGGCAAGUAACAUACCGAUGACAAAGGGAACAACGUAUGUUGUUAUGCGGUAUGGCCGAUAAAGAUCUUCGUAGAAUAUGUGGGAGCCAAUAUGAGCAUCCAGGUUCCGCUAUUGGUUAUUGCCUGGAGACGUGUCUCGGUCAUGUCUACAUUGUUCUCGAACCCGUAGGGUCCGCACGCUUAAGGUUUCGAUGAUAGUUAUAUUAUGAGUUUAUUAGUUUUGAUGUACCGAAGUUAGUUCGGAGUCCCGGAUAUGAUCACGGACAUAACGAGGAGUCUCGAAAUGGUAGAGACAUAAAGAUUGAUAUAUUGGACGGCUAUAUUCGGACACCGGAAGUGUUCCGGGGAAGUUUCGGAUAAAACCGGAGUACCGGGGGGUUACCGGAACCCCCCGGGGGGUUAAUGGGCCUCAUGGGCCUAGAGUGGAGAAGAGGAGGGGCGGCCAGGGCAGGCCGCGCGCCCCCUCUCCCCCUAGUCUGAAUUGGACAAGGAGGGAGGGGUGGUGCCCCCCCCCCUUUCCUGCCUCUCCUCUCUCCCUUCCUUCCCCCUCUCCUACUUGGACAAGGAAAAGGAGGGAGUCCUACUCCCGGUAGGAGUAGGACUCCUCCCUGGCGCGCCUCAUCAUGGCCGGCCGCCCCUCCCCCUUGCUCCUUUAUAUACGGGGGCAAGGGGGCACCUCUAGACACAACAAUUGAUCCUUGAGAUCUCUUAGCCGUGUGCGGUGCCCCCCUCCACCAUAAUCCUCGAUAAUAUUGUAGCGGUGCUUAGGCGAAGCCCUACGACGGUAGAACAUCAAGAUCGUCACCACGCCAUCGUGCUGACGAAACUCUUCCCCGACACUUUGCUGGAUCGGAGUCCGGGGAUCGUCAUCGAGCUGAACGUGUGCUAGAACUCGGAGGUGUCGUAGUUUCGGUGCUUGAUCGGUCGGGUCGUGAAGACGUACGACUACAUCAACCGCGUUGUCAUAAUGCUUCCGCUUUCGGUCUACGAGGGUACGUAGACAACACUCUCCCCUCUCGUUACUAUGCAUCACCAUGAUCUUGCAUGUCCGUAGGAAUUUUUUUGAAAUUACUACGUUCCCCAACAGUGGUAUCAGAGCCAGGUUUUAUGCGUUGAUGUUAUGCACGAGUAGAACACAAGUGAGUUGUGGGCGAUAUAAGUCAUACUGCUUACCAGCAUGUCACACUUUGGUUCGGCGGUAUUGUUGGAUGAAGCGGCCCGGACCGACAUUGCGCGUACGCUUAUGCGAGACUGGUUCUACCGACGUGCUUUGCACACAGGUGGCUGGCGGGUGUCAGUUUCUCCAACUUUAGUUGAACCGAGUAUGGCUACGCCCGGUCCUUGCGAAGGUUAAAACAGCAUCAACUUGACAAACUAUCGUUGUGGUUUUGAUGCGUAGGUAAGAACGGUUCUUGUUCAGCCCGUAGCAGCCACGUAAAACUUGCAACUACAAAGUAGAGGAUGUCUAACUUGUUUUUGCAGGGCAUGUUGUGAUGUGGUAUGGUCAAGACGUGAUGAGAUAUAAGUUGUUGUAUGAGAUGAUCAUGUUUUGUUGAAGUUAUCGGCAACUGGCAAACGCCUUAUGGUUAUCUCUCUAUUGCAUAAGAUGCAAGCGCCAAAUAAAUGCUUUACUUUAUCGCUAUGUGAUAGCAAUAGUUGCAAGAGCAAUUGUUGGCGAGACGACUAUGUGACGACACAUUGAUAUAGAUCAAGAUGCACUGGUAGAAAAAGGGCCUAUAGUCCCGGUUCGUAAGGGCCUUUAGUCCCGGUUCCUGAACCGGGACUAAAGUGUCGGUACUAAUGCCCUGUACCUUUGGUCCCGGUUCAAUCCAGAACCGAGACUGAUGGGCCUCCACGUGGGCAGUGCGCAGAGCCCAGGCAGGAGACCCUUUGGUCCCGGUUGGUGGCACCAACCGGGACCAAUAGGCAUCCAUGCGUCAGCAUUUCUGUGGCUGGGGUUUUUGUUUUUUUUGAAAGGGGGGGUUGGGGGGUUUUGGGGGGUUAAUUUAGGUGUUUCAUAUAUUGUGUUAGCUAGCUAUAAUUAAUAGAGAGAAGUUUCCUCUCUUACGUCCGUGCUUGGUCGACGCUACGUACUAUACAUACGUAUAGAGAGGACUAGACACGCUAGUUAGCUAGUAAGCAAACGAAGGAAACAGAAGAUCGUCAUGAACAUAUAUGCAUACAGAGAGAAUUGAUAUCGACCACCUCUCCUUCUCCGAGAGAUUGGUCGAACAACAAGUUCUUGUAUAUCUAUCCGACACUACCGGCUACAUAUAUACAAUAAUUAUCUCUUACAAAUAUAAUCAUACGGACUCAUGGUCCACAUAGUAUUCUCCGUCUUCAGCGAUCACUUGGUCAAGAAAGAAUGCCGCCAAUUCCUCUUGAAUUGCUCGCAUGCGAGCUGGUGCUAGGAGUUCAUCCCGCUUCCGAAACAUCUAAUUUGAAGAAGGGGGUCAAUACAUAUAUAUAUGAAUGAAUGAAACUCAAUACAAAUGAUGGUAAUAAAAUAAAAUUGUUAAUGUUGUUAUUUACGUACUUCAUAUUGUUCGUUAGAGUACGCGCCCCGCUCACAGGUCGUGUGGCGGAUGGACUCGCAGACGUAGUAUCCACAGAAAUCAUUCCCUUUUUCCUGCCACAACCACUUUACAAGAAAUAGAGGUCAAUCAAACUGAUAAGCAAGAAUGCUAAAUGGUAUUGAUGAAACUAGCGCUUGAAUCACUAGGAGAUGCGCGGAACAUGCUACUAUAGUACUUACUUUCGGGUGUCUAAAUUCCAGCUCCUUCGGCAGUCCCAGAACUGUUCUGGUGAAUUUUCUCCAAACCCUGCCGGACAAAGAAAACAAUUACUUGAUAUCAGGAAAUGAACAAAGUUGCUGAUAUGGUGGAUAAUGAUCGAUUUAACUUACUUCUUGAGGAUUUCAGUCAUGUCCGCAUACUCCUGGGGAUCUUUUCGUUUAGAGUCCAAGACGGUUACUACUCCCUGCUCAAGCCUAAUCUCUAGGAGAAUAUGGUGGAAACUGCACACGCAUGCAUAACUCAUCAAUUACAUUACUAUAACCUGGACUAAUAUAUAAGGGAAACCGAAUAUACGCAAGACAGUAACACUCACUUGAAGUUGUAAGGAAAGAGUAUUAUAUCUUUGUUUUCAUUUUUUUUGAAUGAUCGUAGCAAGUUGGCCUCGGUAUCUCCGGGACGAUGUUGAACCUCAGUUGCAUCUAUGAGAUAUGUGUUAACGAACCCAAUAUCACCGAUUUGUCUUUUCUUCAAUUCGGCGAUCUUCAUUCUGCAUAAUAUAGUGAGGAUAAUUAUAAAUACAUGCAAUGAAAGAGAUGAGCUAUAUAGAGAGACUUAAUGACAGAAGUAGUAGUACUUACAGAUAGUAGCAGGUGAUCGUUGUUUUAUCGAGGGCCAAUUGAUUGAAAAACUGAUAGAACUCCUCAAAUGGAAUAGGCAACAGUUCAAUUCCAACGAGGUCAUGCUCCGGUUUAACUCUCGCAUACAAAGUACUCCUCCCCCCAGACUCUCUGCAGAUUUUCAAGUACCAAUCAUGUAAUCUUCGCAUCAUCGUUGUUAAAGAUUUUUCAUCUUUGACGAGAGGCUUCUCGUACUCGUAUCUGUGUAUCCGCACCUCCGUGGUAUCAUAAUAUACAUCGUCGGGCAGGUAAUCGUCAACAUUGCCAUAACCGGGCACCAUCCUUGGAUCGAUGAUGUCGCUAGGCACCUUGAGGGGGGGGGGCACGAUUGCUUCGCUUGUUCGCCGAGCUGGGCAAUUUGUUUCCCAGCUACUCGUCGUUCUUUCAGCCUUUGAUCACUGACUGUACUUCCCGACCGCUCCGCUUCGGCCCAUGUCUUUGCAAUAAUGCGCUCAUAGUUGCCUUUCGGCGGAGACUUGGGUGGUUUUGCCAGGGCAGCCAGAGUGCGCUUCACUUUCACCGGAUCUAACUUCUCCUCCGGAGGUGGAUGUCUCUUUGCUCUCAACCCUUGAAACCAAUCAUCCACUUCGGUUCGUGCGAUCUCGGCAUUCUCCUCCGGGGUCCUCUCAUAUGGUAACUUCUCUGGAGUCUUCGGAGAAGGACCGAAUCUGUAUGUCCUCCCGCCUCUGGCUGUACUGCUAGACGCCGACCGAGCAGACGGAGCGGUUGUCUUAUUUACUUGCUUACGAGGCGGAGGAGAAGGACUACGACGCACCGGAGCAGCUGGAGCGGCGGCGGGUCUCUUCGCCCUUGCUGACGAGGCGGAGAAGGAGGAGGCUGGCUGCUCGGGCGCGUCGGCGCAGGCGGAGAAGGAGGCGGAGUGCCGCCACGCGCCGGAGAAGGAGCCGGCCGAGGGCCCUGAUCGUCACUCACCGGAGGAGGAGGCAGUGGAGGAGGCGGAGUGCCCUGACUCGCCGGAGGAGGAGGAGGCGGAGGCGUCUAGUUCGGAAGGUUGAUGAGCUCCUUCCGCCAUAGGCAUGGAGUCUUCAGAGCAGACCCCAGCUGAGUCUUCCCUUCACCGGUAGGGUGGUCAAGCUGGAGGUCCUCAAAUCCCUCCGUUAUUUCAUCCACCAUCACCCUAGCAUAUCCUUCUGGAAUCGGCCGGCAGUGAAAAGUAACGCCGGGUUCAGUAGGAUAAACCAGAGCCAACAGCCGCCUUGACCUUCAAAUUCAUCCAUUGCGUCAUAAGGUGGAAAUUUUGAGACUCCGUGAUAGCAUCCACGGGAUAGCUAGCAGGAGCCAUCAAGGCAUGCUCCGGCUGAAGCAGCUCGGUGGAAGCCACGCUGCUUCUCCGCUGAGAUGGCGGGGUAGCUGUUGGGGAACGUUGCAGAAAACAAAAAAUUUCCUACGGUUUCACCAAGAUCCAUCUAGGAGUUCAUCUAGCAACGUGUGAUCGGAUUACAUCUACAUACCUUUGUAGAUCACGCGCGGAAGUGUUCAAAGAACGGGGAUGAGGAAGGCGUACUCGACGUGAUCCAAAUCACCAGAGAUCCUAGCGCCGAACGGACGGCACCUCCGCGUUCAACACACGUACGGUCAGCGUAACGUCUCCUUCUUCUUGAUCCAGCAAGAGAGAAGCAGAGGUUGAGGAAGAUGGCUCCAGCAGCAGCACGACGGCGUGGUGUUGAUGGAGCUGCAGUACUCCGGCAGGGCUUUGCCAAGCACUGUGGAGGAGGAGGAUGUGUUGGAGAGGGAGAGGGAGGCACCAAAGGCGUGGGGGUGAGAAGUCCUCCAUCUCCCCACUAUAUAUAGGAGGGCCAAGGGGGGGCGCCGGCCCUAGGAGAUCCAAUCUCCUAGGGGGGGUGCGGCCAAGGGGAGGAAUCCCUCCUCCCCAAGGCACCUAGGAGGUGCCUUCCCCCUUUGGGACUCUUCCCUUCUUGAACCCUAGGCGCAUGGGCCUCUUGGGGCUGGUGCCCUUGGCCCAUGUAGGACAAGGCGCACCCCCUACAGCCCAUGUGGCCCCCCGGGGCAGGUGGCCCCACCCGGUGGACCCCCGGGACCCUUCCGGUGGUCCCGUUACAAUACCGGUGACCCCGAAACUUGUCCCGAUGCCCGAAAUAGCACUUCCUAUAUAUAAUUCUUUACCUCCGGACCAUUCCGGAACUCCUCGUGACGUCCGGGAUCUCAUCCGGGACUCCGAACAACAUUCGGGUUACUGCAUAUACAUAUCCCUACAACCCUAGCGUCACCGAACCUUAAGUGUGUAGACCCUACGGGUUCGGGAGACAUGUAGACAUAACCGAGAUCGCUCUCCGGUCAAUAACCAACAGCAGGAUCUGGAUACCCAUGUUGGCUCCCACAUGCUCCUCGAUGAUCUCAUCGGAUGAACCAUGAUGUCGAGGAUUCAAUCAAUCUCGUAUACAAUUCCCUUUGUCAAUCGGUAUGCUACUUGCCCGAGAUUCGAUCGUCGGUAUCCCAAUACCUCGUUCAAUCUCCUUACCGGCAAGUCACUUUACUCAGUAUGAUCCUGUGACCAGACACUUGGUAACUUUGAGCUCAUUAUGAUGAUGCAUUACCGAGUGGGCCCAGUGAUACCUCUCCGUCAUACGGAGUGACAAAUCCCAGUCUCGAUCCGUGUCAACCCAACAGACACUUUCGGAGAUACCCGUAGUAUACCUUUAUAGUCACCCAGUUACGCUGUGACGUUUGGUACACCCAAAGCACUCCUACGGUAUCCGGGAGUUACACGAUCUCAUGGUCUAACGAAAGGAUACUUGACAUUGGAAAAACUCUAGCAAACGAACUAAACAAUCUUAUGCUAUGUUUAGGAUUGGGUCUUGUCCAUCACAUCAUUCUCCUAAUGAUGUGAUCUCGUUAUCAAUGACAUCCAAUGUCCAUAGUCAGGAAACCAUGACUAUCUGUUGAUCAACGAGCUAGUCAACUAGAGGCUUACUAGGGAAAUGUUGGUGUCUAUUAUUCACACAUGUAUUACGAUUUCCGGAUAAUACAAUUAUAGCAUGAAUAAAGACAAUUAUCAUGAACAAGGAAAUAUAAUAAUAAUGCUAUUAUUAUUGCCUCUAGGGCAUAUUUCCAACAGUCUCCCACUUGCACUAGAGUCAACAAUCUAGUUACAUUGUGAUGAAUCGAACACCCAUGGAAUUUUGGUGUUGAUCAUGUUUUGCUCUAGGGAGAGGUUUAGUCAACAGAUCUACUACAUUCAGGUCCAUAUGUACUUUACAAAUAUCUAUGUCUCCAUCUUGAACAUUUUCACGAAUGGAGUUGAAGCGACGCUUGAUGUGCCUUGUCUUCUUGUGAAACCUGGGCUCCUUGGCAAGUGCAAUAGCUCCAGUGUUGUCACAGAAGAGCUUGAUCGGCCCCGACGCAUUGGGUAUGACUCCUAGGUCGGUGAUGAACUCCUUCACCCAAAUUGCUUCAUGCGCUGCCUCCGAGGCUGCCAUGUACUCCGCUUCACAUGUAGAUCCCGCCAUGACGCUCUGCUUGCAACUGCACCAGCUUACUGCCCCACCAUUCAAAAUAUACACGUAUCCGGUUUGUGACUUUGAGUCAUCCAGAUCUUUGUCGAAGCUAGCGUCGACGUAACCCUUUACGACGAGCUCUUUGUCACCUCCAUAAACGAGAAACAUUUCCUUAGUCCUUUUCAGGUACUUCAGGAUAUUCUUGACCGCUGUCCAAUGUUCCUUGCCGAGAUUACUUUGGUACCUACGUGCCAAACUUACGGCAAGGUUUACAUCAGGUCUGGUACACAGCAUGGCAUACAUAAUAGAACCUAUGGCUGAGGCAUAGGGGAUGAAACUCAUCUCUUCUAUAUCUUCUGCCGUGGUCGGACAUUGAGCUGAGCUCAAUUUCACACCUUGCAACACAGGCAAGAACCCCUUCUUAGACUGAUCCAUAUUGAACUUCUUCAAUAUCUUAUCAAGGUAUGUGCUUUGUGAAAGACCUAUGAGGCAUCUUGAUCUAUCUCUAUAGAUCUUGAUGCCUAAUAUAUAAGCAGCUUCUCCAAGGUCCUUCAUUGAAAAACUUUUAUUCAAGUAGGCCUUAAUGAUGUCCAAGAGUUCUAUAUCAUUUCCCAUCAAAAGUAUGUCAUCUACAUAUAAUAUGAGAAAUGCUACAGAGCUCCCACUCACUUUCUUGUAAACACAGGCUUCUCCAUAAGUCUGCGUAAACCCAAACGCUUUGAUCAUCUCAUCAAAGCGAAUGUUCCAACUCCGAGAUGCUUGCACCAGCCCAUAAAUCGAGCGUUGGAGCUUGCACACCUUGUCAGCAUUCUUAGGAUCGACAAAACCUUCCGGCUGCAUCAUAUACAAUUCUUCCUUAAGGAAACCAUUAAGGAAUGCCGUUUUGACGUCCAUUUGCCAUAUUUCAUAAUCAUAGAAUGCAGCAAUUGCUAACAUGAUUCGGACGGACUUUAGCUUCGCUACCGGUGAGAAAGUCUCAUCGUAGUCAACCCCUUGAACUUGUCGAUAACCCUUAGCGACAAGCCGAGCUUUAUAGAUGGUCACAUUACCAUCCGCGUCUGUCUUCUUCUUAAAGAUCCAUUUAUUUUCUAUGGCUCGCCGCUCAACGGGCAAGUCAGUCAAAGUUCAUACUUCGUUUUCAUACAUGGAUCCUAUCUCGGAUUUCAUGGCUUCUAGCCAUUUGUCAGAAUCCGGGCCCGCCAUCGCUUCUUCAUAGUUUGAAGAUUCACCGUUGUCUAACAACAUGAUUUCCAAGACAACGUUGCCGUACCACUCUGGUGUGGAACGUGUCCUUGUGGACCUUCGAAUUUCAGUAGGAGCUUGAUCAUAAGUAUGUUGAUCAUCAUCAUUAACUUCCUCUCUUGUCGGUGCAGGCACCUCAGAAACAUUUUCUUGAGGUGCGCCAUUUUCCGGUUCAAGAGGUAAUACUUCAAGGUCUACUUUCCUCCCACUUACUUCUUUCGAGAGAAACUCUUUCUCUAGAAAGGACCCAUUCUUGGCAACAAAGAUCUUGCCUUCGGAUCUGAGGUAGAAGGUAUACCCAAUAGUUUGUUUAGGGUAUCCUAUGAAGACGCAUUUUUCCGAUUUGGGCUCGAGCUUUUCAGGUUGAAGUUUCUUGACAUAAGCAUCGCAUCCCCAAACUUUUAGAAACGAUAGCUUAGGUUUCUUCCCAAACCAUAAUUCAUAUGGUGUCGUCUCAACGGAUUUCGACGGAGCCCUAUUUAAAGUGAAUGUGGCAGUCUCUAAAGCAUAGCCCCAAAAAGAUAGCGGUAAAUCGGCAAGAGACAUCAUAGAUCGCACCAUAUCUAAUAGAGUGCGAUUACGACGUUCGGACACACCAUUACGCUGAGGUGUUCCAGGCGGCGUGAGUUGUGAAACUAUUCCACAUUUUCUUAAGUGUGUGCCAAACUCGUGACUCAAGUAUUCUCCUCCACGAUCUAAUCGCAGGAACUUGAUUUUCCUGUCACGUUGAUUCUCAACCUUACUCUGAAAUUCCUUGAACUUUUCAAAGGUCUCAGACUUGUGUUUCAUUAAGUAGACAUACCCACAUCUACUCAAGUCAUCAGUGAGGGUGAGAACAUAACGAUAUCCACCGCGAGCCUCAACGCUCAUUGGACCGCACACAUCAGUAUGUAUGAUUUCCAAUAAGUUGGUUGCUCGCUCCAUUGUUCCUGAGAACGGAGUCUUGGUCAUUUUACCCAUGAGGCAUGGUUCGCACGUGUCAAAUGAUUCGUAAUCAAGAGACUCUAAAAGUCCAUCUGCAUGGAGCUUCUUCAUGCGUUUGACACCUAUGUGACCAAGGCGGCAGUGCCACAAGUAUGUGGGACUAUCAUUAUCAAUCUUACAUCUUUUGGUAUUCACACUAUGAAUAUGUGUAGCAUUACGCUCGAGAUUCAUUAAGAAUAAACCAUUCACCAUCGGAGCAUGACCAUAAAACAUAUCUCUCAUAUAAAUAGAACAACCAUUAUUCUCGGAUUUAAAUGAGUAGCCAUCUCGUAUUAAACGAGAUCCUGAUACAAUGUUCAUGCUCAAACUUGGCACUAAAUAACAAUUAUUGAGGUUCAAAACUAAUCCCGUAGGUAAAUGUAGAGGUAGCGUGCCGACGGCGAUCACAUCGACCUUGGAACCAUUCCCAACGCGCAUCGUCACCUCGUCCUUCGCCAGUCUCCGCUUAUUCCGCAGCUCCUGCUUUGAGUUACAAAUGUGAGCAACUGCACCGGUAUCAAAUACCCAGGAGCUACUACGAGUACUGGUAAGGUACACAUCAAUUACAUGUAUAUCACAUAUACCUUUCGUUUUGCCGGCCUUCUUGUCCGUUAAGUAUUUGGGGCAGUUCCGCUUCCAGUGACCACUUUCCUUGCAAUAAAAGCACUCAGUCUCGGGCUUGGGUCCAUUCUUUGGUUUCUUCCCGGCAGCUUGCUUGCCGGGCGCGGAAACUCCCUUGCCGUCCUUCUUGAAGGUUUUCUUACCCUUGCCUUUCUUGAACUUAGUGGUUUUAUUCACCAUCAACACUUGAUGUUCCUUUUUGACUUCUACCUCUGCUGAUUUCAGCAUUGCAAAUACUGCAGGAAUGGUCUUUUCCAUCCCCUGCAUAUUGAAGUUCAUCACAAAGCUCUUGUAGCUCGGUGGAAGCGACUGAAGGAUUCUGUCAAUGACCGUGUCAUCCGGGAGAUUAACUCCCACCAGAGUCAAGCGGUUAUGCAACCCAGACAUAGUGAGUAUGUGCUCACUGACAGAACUGUUUUCCUCCAUCUUAUAGCUGAAGAACUUGUCGGAGACUUGAUAUCUCUUGACCCGGGCAUGAGCUUGGAAAACCAUUUUCAGCUCUUCGAACAUCUCAUAUGCUCCGUGUCUCUCAAAACGCUUUUGGAGCCCCGGCUCUAAGCUGUAAAGCAUGCCGCACUGAACGAGGGAGUAGUCAUCGGUACGUGCCUGCCAAGCGUUCAUAACGUCUUGUUCUGCAGGGAGAACAGGUGCGUCACCCAGCGGUGCUUGUAGGACAUAAUCUUUCUUGGCAGCUAUGAGGAUUAUCCUCAGGUUCCGGACCCAGUCCGUGUAGUUGCUGCCAUUGUCUUUCAGCUUGGUUUUCUCUAGGAACGCGUUGAAGUUGAGGACUACGUUGGCCAUUUGAUCUACAAGACAUUGUAGACUAAGUUCAUGAUAAUUAAGUUCAUCUAAUCAAAUUAUUCAAUGAACUCCCACUUAGAUAGACAUCCCUCUUGUAAUCUAAUUAUAACAUGAUCCGAGUUAACUAGGCCGUGUCCGAUCAUCACGUGAGAUGGACUAGUCAACAUCGGUGAACAUCUUCAUGUUGAUCGUAUCUUCUAUACGACUCAUGCUUGACCUUUCGGUCUUCUGUGUUCCGAGGCCAUGUCUGUACAUGCUAGGCUCGUCAAGUCAACCUAAGUGUUUGCAUGUGUAAAUCUGUCUUACACCCGUUGUGUGUGAACGUUAGAAUCUAUCACACCCGAUCAUCACGUGGUGCUUCGAAACAACGAACUGUCGCAACGGUGCACAGUUAGGGGAAACACUUUCUUGAAAUUAUUAUGAGGGAUCAUCUUAUUUACUACCAUCGUUCUAAGCAAACAAGAUGCAAAAACAUGAUAAACAUCACAUGCAAUCAAAUAAUAAUAGUGACAUGAUAUGGCCAAUAUCACAUAGCUCCUUUGAUCUCCAUCUUGGGCCUCCAUGAUCAUCUUGUCACCGGCAUGACACCAUGAUAUCCAUCAUCAUAAUCUCCAUCAUCGUGUCUCCAUGAAGUUGCUCGCCAACUAUUACUUCUACUACUAUGGCUAACACGUUUAGCAAUAAAGUAAAGUAAUUUACAUGGCAUUUCUCAAUGACACGCAGGUCAUACAAAAAAAUAAAGACAACUCCUAUGGCUCCUGCUGGUUGUCAUACUCAUCGACAUUUAAGUCAUGAUUCCUAUUACAAUAGCAUGAACAUCUCAUACAUCACAUAUAUAUCAUUCAUCAUUCAUCACAACUUUGGGCAUAUCACAUCACAGAACACUUGCUGCAAAAACAAGUUAGACGUCCUCUAAUUGUUGUUGCAAGUUUUACGUGGCUGAAAAAGGGUUCUAGCAAGAACAUUUUCUUACCUACGUGAAAGCCACAACGUGAUUUGUCAACUUCUAUUUACCCUUCAUAAGGACCCUUUUCAUCGAGUCCGCUCCAACUAAAGUGGGAGAGACAGACACCCGCCAGCCACCUUAUGCAACUUGUGCAUGUUAGUCGGUGGAACCGGUCUCACCUAAGCGUACGUGUAAGGUUGGUCCGGGCCGCUUCAUCCCACAAUACCAUUGAAGCAAGAUAAGACUAGUAGUGGCAAGAAAGUUGACAACAUCAACACCCACAACAAAUUGUGUUCUACUCGUGCAAGAGAACUACGCAUAGACCUAGCUCAUGAUGCCACUGUUGGGGAACGUUGCAGAAAACAAAAAAUUUCCUACGGUUUCACCAAGAUCCAUCUAGGAGUUCAUCUAGCAACGAGUGAUUGGAUUGCAUCUACAUACCUUUCUAGAUCACGCGCGGAAGCGUUCAAAGAACGGGGAUGAGGAAGGCGUACUCGACGUGAUCCAAAUCACGGAGAUCCUAGCGCCGAACGGACGGCACCUCCGCGUUCAACACACGUACGGUCAGCGUAACGUCUCCUUCUUCUUGAUCCAGCAAGAGAGAAGGAGUGGUUGAGGAAGAUGGCUCCAGCAGCAGCACGACGGCGUGGUGGUGAUGGAGCUGCAGUACUCCGGCAGGGCUUCGCCAAGCACUGUGGAGGAGGAGGAUGUGUUGGAGAGGGAGAGGGAGGCACCAAAGGCGUGGGGGUGAGAAGUCCUCCAUCUCCCCACUAUAUAUAGGAGGGCCAAGGGGGGGGGCGCCGGCCCUAGGAGAUCCAAUCUCCUAGGGGGGUGCGGCCAAGGGGAGGAAUCCCUCCUCCCCAAGGCACCUAGGAGGUGCCUUCCCCCUUUGGGACUCUUCCCUUCUUGAACCCUAGGCGCAUGGGCCUCUUGGGGCUGGUGCCCUUGGCCCAUGUAGGCCAAGGCGCACCCCCUACAGCCCAUGUGGCCCCCCAGGGCAGGUGGCCCCACCCGGUGGACCCCCGGGACCCUUCCGGUGGUCCCGGUACAAUACCGGUGACCCCGAAACUUGUCCCGAUGCCCGAAAUAGCACUUCCUAUAUAUAAUUCUUUACCUCCGGACCAUUCCGGAACUCCUCGUGACAUCCGGGAUCUCAUCCGGGACUCCGAACAACAUUCGGGUUACUGCAUAUACAUAUCCUUACAACCCUAGCGUCACCGAACCUUAAGUGUGUAGACCCUACGGGUUCGGGAGACAUGUAGACAUAACCGAGAUUGCUCUCCGGUCAAUAACCAACAGCGGGAUCUGGAUACCCAUGUUUGCUCCCACAUGCUCCUCGAUGAUCUCAUCGGAUGAACCACGAUGUCGAGGAUUCAAUCAAUCCCGUAUACAAUUCCCUUUGUCAAUCGGUAUGCUACUUGCCCGAGAUUCGAUCGUCGGUAUCCCAAUACCUCGUUCAAUCUCGUUACCGGCAAGUCACUUUACUCAGUAUGAUCCUGUGACCAGACACUUGGUCACUUUGAGCUCAUUAUGAUGAUGCAUUACCGAGUGGGCCCAGUGAUACCUCUCCGUCAUACGGAGUGACAAAUCCCAGUCUUGAUCCGUGUCAACCCAACAAACACUUUCAGAGAUACACGUAGUAUACCUUUAUAGUCACCCAGUUACGUUGUGACGUUUGGUACACCCAAAGCACUCCUACGGUAUCCGGGAGUUACACGAUCUCAUGGUCUAAGGAAAGGAUACUUGACAUUGGAAAAACUCUAGCAAACGAACUAAACGAUCUUAUGCUAUGUUGAGGAUUGGGUCUUGUCCAUCACAUCAUUCUCCUAAUGAAGUGAUCUCGUUAUCAAUGAAAUCCAAUGUCCAUAGUCAGGAAACCAUGACUAUCUGUUGAUCAACGAGCUAGUCAACUAGAGGCUUACUAGGGACAUGUUGGUGUCUAUUAUUCACACAUGUAUUACGAUUUCCGGAUAAUACAAUUAUAGCAUGAAUAAAGACAAUUAUCAUGAACAAGGAAAUAUAAUAAUAAUGCUAUUAUUAUUGCCUCUAGGGCAUAUUUCCAACAGUAGCUUCGGGGGAGGCUUCGGCAGUACGUUUGCUACGAUUUGCUUCUCGUUCCUCUAUCGCGUCUACCCUUGCUUGCAGCGCCUGCAUUUGGGUCUGCUGCACUUUUUUCCUCCUCUCAUGGGAUUUGUAACCGCCUGCGUCUGGAAACCCAACCUUCCACGGAAUGGAGCCUGGCGUGCCUCAUGUCCGUCCAGGGUGCUCAGGAUUCCCGAGGGCCAUUGUGAGCUUGUCGUUCUCUCUGUCUGGAAAGAACUUCCCUUGCUGCGCUGCUUCGAUAUACUGCUUAAGCUUCCUGACUGGUAUGUCCAUUUGAUCGUUCGUCCAAAUGCACUUCCCUGUUACAGGGUCCAAGGUUCCACCAGCCCCGAAGAACCAAGUCCGGCAACGGUCUGGCCAGCUAAUUGUCUCUGGUUCGAUCCCUUUAUCAACCAGAUCAUUCUCAGUCUUGGCCCACUUAGGCCGGGCUACGAGGUAGCCACCUGACCCCAUUCGAUGGUGAAGCAUCUUCUUCGCAGCAUUUUGCUUGUUUGUCACCGACAUCUUCUUACUCUUUUCCGAUGUCUUGUGGGCCACAAAUGCGGGCCAGUGAUCUCUGAUCUUCUCAUAUCUGCCCUUGAAUUCUGGUGUCUCAUUAUUUUCGACAAACUUAUUCAGCUCUUUCUUCCACCUCCUGAAUAGUUCUGCCAUCCUCUUAAGAGCAAAAGACUUGAUUAAUUUCUCUUUAACUGGGUUCUCUGGAUUAUCCUCUGGCGGUAGGGUGAAAUUUGACUUCAGCUCAGUCCAAAGAUCAUUUUUCUGCAUAUCAUUGACAUAAGACACCUCAGAGUCUUCUGUAGCCAGCUUAAACCAUUGCUGGAUGCUUAUCGGGAUCUUGUCCCUAACCAGAACCCCGCACUGAGCAACAAAUGCGCUCUUUGUCCGGAGGGGUUCAAUCGGUUGGCCAUCGGGCGCGAUUGCUAUGAUCUCAAACUUUUCAUCCGAGCUCAACUUUUUCUUCGGGCCUCGUCUCUUUACCAAAGUUGUGCUCGAUCCGGAGGGCUAGAAAAAAGAACAAAGACUUAAUUAAUAUGUGUACAUACCAAAACAAUGAAUGCAUCAAUCAGCUAGUCAGCACAGGCUUAACUAAUAUAUAUACCUGGCCGGACUCGGUUCGGUCACCGGAGCCGUCAUCACGGUCUCCUUCUUGCACCGGCAUUGGGUCACCGGAGCCGUCCUCAUGUUCUUCUUCUUGCACCGGCAUUAGGUCACCGUAGCCAGCUUGUUCACCCUCUCCUUCCAGACCAUCGGUUUCACUGAGAAACAACGAGACGACAUCACUUCCUUCUGCGAUUAUGUCCCUCAACAACGCUUCUUUUGCUUCGUCUAGGGCGGUGUCCAUAGUUUCUACAAAUAUUUACAACAUGGCAAUUAUUAUUCAAACAUGACAGGUGGAUAUAUUAGUGCCAAACGUAGAACUAGCUACCUAAUCAUAGUAAGCUAUCGGGAGGGGGUAUAUAUCGACAACGACGACACUACAUCUAUUUCCCUCGACGACCCUCGUUCCCGAUAAAAAAAAGAGGAAGAAGAAGAAAAAAAAGAGGAGAAGAAAGAAUAGAGGAGAUCUUCUCCUCUAUUCUUUCUUCUCCUCUCUUUUUUCUUCUUCUUCCUCUUUUUUUUAUCCUCUUCUUCCUCUCAUGUUCGAGAGCAUCGCCGAGGGGUCGGGAGGUUGCCUAGUGUCAAAGGAUUCAACAAAACCAUGUCUUCAUCAUUAGGCGAAAGUAACAUGUGCAUGAUGGUACGAAGCUCUCCAAAGUUAUUUUGGAACGGAGUCCUAGAUAGGAUAAUUCGCUUUUUGGUACAAAGUUUAGCAAGAACCUUCCAAAUAUCGUUAUUUGGAAGGCCUUUGCUGAAAUUCAUACAAGAAGGCAAAUUAUCCUAUCCGGGACACCAUUCCAAAAUAAUUUUGGAGGACUUCGUCAUGCCCUGGUUACUUCUGGCUAAUGAUGAAGCCAUGGAUUUCUUCAAUACUUUGACACUAGGAAACCUCUCUCGACCCCUCGGCGAUCCUCGACCCCUCGAACCCUCGACGACCCUGGAACCCUCGACCCCUCGGCGAUCCUCUUCUUCCUCUCAUGUUCGAGAGGAUCGCCGAGGGGUCGGGAGGUUGCGUAGUGUCAAAGGAUUCAACAAAACCAUGUCUUCAUCAUUAGGCGAAAGUAACAUGUGCAUGAUGGUAUGAAGCUCUCCAAAGUUAUUUUGGAACGGAGUCCUAGAUAGGAUAAUUCGCUUUUUGGUACAAAGUUCAGCAAGAACCUUCUAAAUAUCGUUAUUUGGAAGGCCUUUGCUGAAAUUCAUACAAAAAGGCAAAUUAUCCUAUCCGGGACACCAUUCCAAAAUAAUUUUGGAGGACUUCGUCAUGCCCUGGUUACUUCCGGCUAAUGAUGAAGCCAAGGAUUUCUUCAAUACUUUGACACUAGGAAACCUCUCUCGACCCCUCGGCGAUCCUCGACCCCUCGAACCCUCGACGACCCUGGAACCCUCGACCCCUAGACGACCCUGGAACCCUCGACCCUCGACCCUAUAGAACCCUCGAACCCUCGACCCUGAAACCCUUAACCCUUGACCCCUUAACGACCCUCGACCCUCUACCCUAGUUCCCGACCCUCGACCCCUCGGCGAUCCUCGACACCNNNNNNNNNNNNNNNNNNNNNNNNNNNNNNNNNNNNNNNNNNNNNNNNNNNNNNNNNNNNNNNNNNNNNNNNNNNNNNNNNNNNNNNNNNNNNNNNNNNNNNNNNNNNNNNNNNNNNNNNNNNNNNNNNNNNNNNNNNNNNNNNNNNNNNNNNNNNNNNNNNNNNNNNNNNNNNNNNAGAAGAAGAAGAAGAAGAAGAAAGAGGAGAAGAAGAAAGGAAUAGCUAGAGGAGAAGAUCGAAGAAAAAAAAGAAGAAGAAAAAGAGGAGAAGAAGAAAGGAAUAGUGGAGAAGAAGAAAAAAUAGAAUAUAUUCUAUUUUCUCUUCUUCUCCACUAUUCCUUUCUUCUCCUCCUCUUCUUUUUCUUCUUUUUUCUUCUUCUUAUUUAUUUCUCCUCUUCUUCCUCUCCUCUUCUUCUUCUUAUUUAGUUCUCUCGACCCCUCGAUGACCCUCGUCCCUGAUAACAUUUUUUUUCUCCCCUCGCCACCUCUCGACCUCUCGACCCCUCAUCAUCAUCUAUCACCCCCUCAUUUUCUUUAGCAUAUAUCCAUGAACAAAAUAAUAAUUCAUAUAUAGAAAAAAUGCUAUAUGAACAUACAUACAUAUGAGCAUAUACAUAGAGCAUAUACAUAGCCAAAUCCAUAUACAAAGAGCAUAUACAUACAUACAUACAUAUGAGCAUAUACAUACAUACAUAGCCAUACAUACAUACAUACAUACAUAGCCAUACAUAUGAGCCUCUCGGCGCGAUGGUCAGAGCGACAGGGAUCGAUGGGAAGGGGGGAGCUCACUGGGGGCGCGACGGGGAGGAGGCCGGGGACGGGGAGGAGGCCGGCGACGGCGCGGGGGAGGCCGGCGACGCGGCGCGGGGCGACGGGGAGGGGGCCAGAGAUGGUGCACGCAGCGACAAGGAGGAGGCCGGUGACGGCGCAAGCAGCGAUGGGGACAAGGCCUGCGGCGGCGCGGGGCGACGGCGACGGGGAGCGGGCGACGACGGGCUCGGGGCGGCGACGACGACGACGAACGGCCUGGGGGCGUCGGGGGCGAAUGGGAGCGGUUGGCGAAAUUUUCACAAGUGCUACCUUAUAUACCCAGAGCAAUGGUCCCGGUUCGUGGCACGAACCGUGACCAAUGCCCCCCUUUGGUCCCGGUUGGUGCCACCAACCGGGACCAAUGGCCUUGUGCUGCCCCGCGCCCAAAAAUGUAGUCCCACCUCGCUAGUUGAGAGGGCUCGGGAGUGGUUUAUAAGCACUGUUGCGCCCACCCUCCCGAGCUCCUCUCAACUGCAGGCUUUCGGGCCUAAUCUGUCACUGCAAUGCCUGUGGGCCUGCUGGGCCCGCUGCGGGCCUGAAUCUUGGCCCAUGGUAGGGUUUCUAGUCGUAUUCAGGCCGUGGUGGCCUAGUAGGUGGCAUUUUUUUGUUUUUUUGUUGCUUUAUUUAUUUUCUUUUGUUGUUUGCUUUGUUUUUUAAUUCUUUAUGCUUUUAGUUUUAGAAAAAUUAUAAACUUUUUGUUAAUGCCAUUAGUUUUCAAAUUUGAAAAUAAUUUUUUAGUUUUUUUGUUUUCUUUGUUGCUUUAUUUAUUUUAUUUUGUGAUUAAAUUUACUAUAAAAAUAGUUUUUUCUUGUUUUUUAUUUGUUUUUGCAUUAUUUAUUUUAUUUUGUUUUUUGCUUUAAUUUUUAAUUUUGUUUGCUUUUAGGUUAGCAAAAUUAUAAACUUUCUGUUAGUGCCAUUAGUUUUACAAAAAUUAUAAACUUUCUGUUAGUGCCAUUAGUUUUCAAAUUUGAAAACACUUUUUUAGUUUUUUUGUUUUCUUUGUUGCUUUAUCUAGACAAAUCUCGAGGAAAAUGGAGCUUGGAGGUCGAGCUUCGAGAGGAGAAAGCUUAAGUAGUGUGGCUCGGGCAUUCCAUCAAACACCUCAUGUGCAUAGGAGGUGAGCUAGAGCACCACAAAGCCCUCUCCCCCUCGGCCAGAAAAAACAGAGCACUGUGCUCUGCUCUUGCGCGAGGGGGUAUAUAUAGGCACCUCAUUGGUCCCGGUUGGUGACAUGAGCCGGGACUAAAGGGGAGCCUUUGGUCCCGGUUCAAGCCACCAACCGGGACCAAUGGUGGUGGGCCAGGAGCGAGGCCCAUUGGUCCCGGUUCAUCCCACCAACCGGGACCAAAAUGUCCAGAUGAACCGGGACCAAUGGCCCACGUGGCCCGGCUGGCCCCCUGGGCUCACGAACCGGGACCAAUGCCCACAUUGGUCCCGGUUGUAGACUGAACCGGGACUAAUGGGCUGACCCGGCCUGGACCAAAGCCCUGUUUUCUACUAGUGAUGAUGGAGAUCAUGGUGUCAUGCCGGUGACGAUAGAGAUCAUGACGAUGCUUUGGAGAUGGAGAUCAAAGACACAAGAUGAUGAUGGCCAUAUCAUGUCACAUAUUUUGAUUGCAUGUGAUGUUUAUCUUUUAUACAUCUUAUUUUGCUUAGUUCGACGGUAGCUUUAUAAGACGAUCUCUCACUAAUUAUCAAGCUACAAGUGUUCUCCCUAAGUAUGCACCGUUACGAAAGUUCUUCGUGCUGAGACACCACGUGAUGAUCAGGUGUGAUAGGCUCUACGUUCAAAUACAACGGGUGCAAAACAGUUACACACGCGGAAUACUCAGGUUAAACUUGACGAGCCUAGCAUAUAACAGAUAUGGCCUCGGAACACGGAGACCGAAAGGUCGAGCGUGAAUCAUAUAGUAGAUAUGAUCAACAUAGUGAUGUUCACCAUUGAAACUACUCCAUCUCAUGUGAUGAUCGGACAUGGUUUAGUUGAUUUGGAUCACGUGAUCACUUAGAGGAUUAGAGGGAUGUCUAUCUAAGUGGGAGUUCUUAAGUAAUAUGAUUAACUGAACUUUAAUUUAUCAUGAACUUAGUCCUGGCAGUAUUAGCAAAUUAUGUUGUAGAUCAAUAGCUCGCGUUGUUGCUUUCAUAUGUUUAUUUUGAUAUGUUCCUAGAGAAAAUUGUGUUGAAAGAUGUUAGUAGCAAUGAUGCGGAUUGGAUCCAUGAUCUGAGGUUUAUCCCAUUGCUGCACAGAAGAAUUAUGUCCUUGAUGCACCGCUAGGUGACAGACCUAUUGCAGGAGCAGAUGCAGACGUUAUGAACGUUUGGCUAGCUCAAUAUGAUGACUACUUGAUAGUUUAGUGCACCAUGCUUAACGGUUUAGAAUCGGGACUUCAAAGACGAUUUGAACGUCAUGGACCAUAUGAGAUGUUCCAGGAGUUGAAGUUAAUAUUUCAAGCAAAUACCCGAGUUGAGAGAUAUGAAGUCUCCAACAAGUUCUAUAGCUAAAAGAUGGAGGAGAAUCGCUAAACUAGUGAGCAUGUGCUCAGAUUGUCUGGGUACUACAAUCGCUUGAAUCAAGUGGGAGUUAAUCUUCCAGAUAAAAUAGUGAUUGACAGAAUUCUCUAGUCACCAUCACCAAGUUAGUAGAACUUCGUGAUGAACUAUGAUAUGCAAGGGAUAAUGGAAACGAUUCCCAAGCUCUUCGUAAUGCUGAAAUUGACGAAGGUAGAAAUCAAGAAAAAACAUCAAGUGUUGAUGGUUGACGAGACCACUAGUUUCAAGAAAAGGGCAAAGGGAAGAAGGGGAACUUCAAGAAGAAUGGCAAGCAAGUUGCUGCUCAAGUGAAGAAGCCCAAGUCUGGUCCUAAGCCUGAGACUAAGUGCUUCUACUGCAAAGGGACUGGUCACUGGAAGCGGAACUGCCCCAAGUAUUUGGCGGAUAAGAAGGAUGGCAAAGUGAACAUAAGUAUAUUUGAUAUACAUGUUAUUGAUGUGUACUUUACUAGUGUUUAUAGCAACCCCUCAGUAUUUGAUACUAGUUCAGUUACUAUGAUUAGUAACUUGAAUCGGGAGUUGCAGAAUGAACAAAGACUAGUUAAGGGUGAGGUGACGAUGUGUGUUGGAAGUAGUUCCAAGAUUGAUAUGAUCAUCAUCGCACACUCCCUAUACUUUCGGGAUUAGUGUUGAACCUAAAUAAGUGUUAUUUGGUGUUUGCGUUGAGCAUGAACAUGAUAUGAUCAUGUUUAUUGCAAUACGGUUAUUCAUUUAAGUUGGAGAACAAUUGUUGUUCUGUUUACAUGAAUAAAACCUUAUAUGGUUACACACCCAAUGAAAAUGGUUCAUUGGAUCUCGAUCAUAGUGAUACACAUAUUCAUAAUAUUGAAACCAAAAGAUGCAAAGUUAAUAAUGAUAGUGCAACUUAUUUGUGGCACUGCUGUUUAGGUCAUAUUGGUGUAAAGCGCAUGAAGAAACUCCAUGCUGAUGGGAUUUUGGAAUCACUUGAUUAUGAAUCACUUGGUGCUUGCGAACCAUGCCUUAUGGGCAAGAUGACUAAAGACUCCGUUCUCCGGAACAAUGGAGCGAGAAACUGACUUAUUGGAAAUAAUACAUACUGAUGUAUGCGAUCCGAUGAAUGUUGGAGCUCGUGGGGGGUAUCGUUAUUUUCUGACCUUCACAGAUGAUUUGAGCAGAUAAGGGUAUAUCUACUUAAUGAAACAUAAGUCUGAAACAUUUGAAAAGUUCAAAGAAUUUCAGAGUGAAGUUGAAAAUCAUCGUAACAAGAAAAUAAAGUUUCUACGAUCUGAUCAUGGAGGAGAAUAUUUGAGUUACAAGUUUGGUCUACAUUUGAAACAAUGCGGAAUAGUUUCGCAACUCACGCCACCCGGAACACCACAGCGUAAUGGUGUGUCCGAACGUCAUAAUCGUACUUUACUUGAUAUGGUGCGAUCUAUGAUGUAUCUUACCGAUCUACCACUAUCGUUUUGAGGUUAUGCAUUAGAGACAGCUACAUUCACGUUAAAAAGGGCACCAUCUAAAUCCGUUGAGACGACACCGUAUGAACUCUGGUUUGGCGAGAAACCUAAGCUAUCAUUUCUUAAAGUUUGGGACUGCAAUGCUUAUGUGAAAAAGUUUCAACAUGAUAAGCUCGAACCCAAAUCGGAGAAGUAAAUCUUCAUAGGAUACCCAAAAGAAAAUGUUGGGUACACCUUCUAUCACAGAUCCGAAGGCAAGUUAUUCAUUGCUGAGAAUGGAUCCUUUCUAGAGAAGGAGUUUCUCUUGAAAGAAGUGAGUGGGAGGAAAGUAGAACUUGAUGAGGUAGCUGUACCUGCUCCCUUAUUGGAAAGUAGUUCAUCACAGAAAUCUGUUCCUGUGACUACUACAUCGAUUAGUGAGGAAGCUAAUGAUGAUGAUCAUGUAACUUCAGAUCAAGUUACUACCGAACCUUGUAGGUAAACUAGAGUGAGAUCCGCACCAGAGUGGUACGGUAAUCCUGUUCUGGAGGUCAUGUUACUUGACCAUGACAAGCCUACGAACUAUGAGGAAGCGAUGAUGAGCCCAGAUUCCGUGAAAUGGCUUGAGGCCAUGAAAUCUGAGAUGAGAUCCAUGUAUGAGAACAAAGUAUGGACUUUGAUUGACUUGCCCAAUGAUCGGCGAGCCAUUGAGAUUAAAUGGAUCUUCAAGAGGAAGAUGGACACUGAUAGUAGUGUUACUAUCUACAAAGCUAGAAUUGUCGCAAAAAGUUUUUCGACAAGUUCAAGGUGUUGACUACGAUGAGAGUUUCUCACUCGUAUUUAUGCUUAAGUCUGUCCGAAUCAUGUUAGCAAUUGCCGCAUUUUAUGAAAUCUGGCAAAUGGAUAAACAAAACUGCAUUACUUAAUGGAUUUAUUAAAGAAGAGUUGUAUAUGAUGCAACCAGAAGGUUUUGUCAAUCCUAAAGGUACUAACAAAAUAUGCAAGCUCCAGCGAUCCAUCUAUGGACUGGUGCAAGCAUCUCGGAGCUGGAAUAUACGCUUUGAUAAGUUGAUCAAAGCAUAUAGUUUUAUACAGACUUGCGGUGAAGCCUGUAUUUACAAGAAAGUGAGUGGGAGCACUACAACAUUUCUGAUAAGUAUAUGUGAAAGACAUAUUAUUGAUCAGAGAUAAUGUAGAAUUAUUUUGCAGAGCAUAAAGGAAUAUUUGAAAGGAGUUUUUUGAAGAAAGACCUCGGUGAAGCUGCUUACAUAUUGAGCAUCAAGACCUAUAGAGAUAGAUCAAGAUGCUUGAUAAGUUUUUCAAUGAGUACAUAUCUUGACAAGAUUUUGAAGUAGUUCAAAAUGGAACAGUCAAAGAAGAAGUUCUUGCCUGUGUUACAAGGUGUGAAGUUGAGUAAGACUCAAAACCCGACCACGGCAGAAGAUAAAGAGAGAAUGAAAGUCAUUCCCUAUGCCUUAGCCAUAGGUUCUAUAAAGUAUGCCAUGCCGUGUACCAGGCCUAUUAUAUACCCUGCCCUGAGUUUGGCAAGGGAGUACAAUAGUGAUCUAGGAGUAGAUCACUGGACAUUGGUCAAAAUUAUCCUUAGUGGAAUAAGGAUAUGUUUCUCGAUUAUGAAGGUGAUAAAAGGUUCGUCGUAAAGGUUUAUGUCGAUGCAAGUUUUGACACUGAUCCAGAUGACUCUAAGUCUUAAUCUGGACACAUAUUGAAAGUGGGAGAAAUUAGCUAGAGUAGCUCCAUGUAGAGCAUUGUUGACAUAGAAAUUUGCAAAAUACUUAUGGAUAUGAAUGUGGCAGACCCGUUGACUAAACUUCUCUCACAAGCAAAACAUGAUCACACCUCAGUACUCUUUGGGUGUUGAUCACAUGGCGAUGUGAACUAGAUUAUUGACUCUAGUAAACCCUUUGUGUGUUGGUCACAUGUCGAUGUGAACUAUGGGUGUUAAUCACAUGGUGAUGUGAACUAUUGAUGUUAAAUCACAUGGCGAUGUGAACUAGAUUAUUGACUCUAGUGCAAGUGGGAGACUGAAGGAAAUAUGCCCUAGAGGCAAUAAUAAAGCUAUUAUUUAUUUCCCUAUAUCAUGAUAAAUGUUUAUUAUUCAUGCUAGAAUUGUAUUAACCGGAAACAUAAUACAUGUGUGAAUACAUAGACAAACAAAGUGUCACUAGUAUGCCUCUACUUGACUAGCUCGUUAAUCAAAGAUGGUUAUGUUUCCUAACCAUAGACAUGUGUUGUCAUUUGAUUAAAGGGAUCACAUCAUUAGGAGAAUGAUGCGAUUGACAUGACCCAUUCCAUUAGCUUAGCACCCGAUUGUUUAGUAUGUUGCUAUUGCUUUCUUCAUGACUUAUACAUGUUCCUAUGACUAUGAGAUUAUGCAACUCCCGUUUGCCGGAGGAACACUUUGUGUGCUACCAAACGUCACAACGUAACUGGGUGAUUAUAAAGGAGCUCUACAGGUGUCUCCAAAGGUACGUGUUGGGUUGGCGUAUUUCGAGAUUAGGAUUUGUCACUCCGAUUGUCGGAGAGGUAUCUCUAGGCCCUCUCGGUAAUGCACAUCACAUAAGCCUUGCAAGCAUUUCAACUAAUGAGUUAGUUGUGAGAUGAUGUAUUACGAAACGAGUAAAGAGACUUGCCGAUAACGAGAUUGAACUAGGUAUUGAGAUACCGAUGAUCGAAUCUCGGGCAAGUAACAUACCGAUGACAAAGGGAACAACGUAUGUUGUUAUGCGGUCUGACCGAUAAAGAUCUUCAUAGAAUAUGUGGGAGCCAAUAUGAGCAUCCAGGUUCUGCUAUUGGUUAUUAACCGGAGACGUGUCUCGGUCAUGUCUACAUUGUUCUCGAACCCGUAGGGUCCGCACGCUUAAGGUUUCGAUGAUAGUUAUAUUAUGAGUUUAUUAGUUUUGAUGUACCGAAGUUAGUUCGGAGUCCCGGAUAUGAUCACGGACAUAACGAGGAGUGUCGAAAUGGUCGAGACAUAAAGAUUGAUAUAUUGGACGGCUAUAUUCGGACACCGGAAGUGUUCCGGGGAAGUUUCGGAUAAAACCGGAGUACCGGGGGGUUACCGGAACCCCCCGGGGGGUUAAUGGGCCUCAUGGGCCUAAAGUGGAGAAGAGGAGGGGCGGCCAGGGCAGGCCGCGCGCCCCCUCUCCCCCUAGUCCGAAUUGGACAAGGCGGGAGGGGCGGCGCCCCCCCUUUCCUUCCUCUCCUCUCUCCCUUCCUUCCCCCUCUCCUACUUGGACAAGGAAAAGGAGGGAGUCCUACUCCUGGUAGGAGUAGGACUCCUCCCUGGCGCGCCUCAUCAUGGCCGGCCGCCCCUCCCCCUUGCUCCUUUAUAUACGGGGGCAGGGGGGCACCUCUAGACACAACAAUUGAUCCUUGAGAUCUCUUAGCCGUGUGCGGUGCCCCCCUCCACCAUAAUCCUCGAUAAUAUUGUAGCGGUGCUUAGGCGAAGCCCUGCGACGGUAGAACAUCAAGAUCGUCACCACGCCGUCGUGCUAACGAAACUCUUCCCCGACACUUUGCUGGAUCGGAGUCCGGGGAUCGUCAUCGAGCUGAACGUGUGCUAGAACUUGGAGGUGCCAUAGUUUCGGUGCUUGAUCGGCCGGGACGUGAAGACGUACGACUACAUCAACCGCGUUGUCAUAACGCUUCCGCUUUCGGUCUACGAGGGUACGUAGACAACACUCUCCCCUCUCAUUGCUAUGCAUCACCAUGAUCUUGCAUGUGCGUAGGAAUUUUUUUGAAAUUACUACGUUCCCCAACAGGUACCGCAGGACACGAUUCAUUGUGUUUCCUCGACGCAUAUUCUGGCUACCAUCAAAUCAAGAUGGCAGAGCCAGACCAAGCCGCAACGGCAUUUAUCACACCAUACGGGCCAUUCUGCUUUAACACGAUGCCCUUCGGGCUCAAAAAUGCCGGCGCAACAUAUCAGCGCAUGAUUCAGACAUGUCUGGCAAGCCAGAUCGGCAAAAUAGUGGAGGCAUAUGUAGAUGAUGUGGUCGUCAAAACAAGACAUGUUGAAUCUCUAGUAGACGACUUGAGGCUCACAUUUGAUAACCUCUGAACAUACGACAUCAAGCUCAACCCGGAAAAAAGCGUUUUCGGCGUUCCAGCCGGAAAGCUCUUGGGCUUCAUUGUAUCCGGUAGAGGAAUUGAAGCAAAUCCAGCCAAGAUCCGAGCUCUAUCGCAACUGGACAUCCCGAAGGACCUCAAACAAAUACAAAAGUUAAUCGGAUGCGUGACGGCUCUAAGCCGCUUUAUCUCCCGCUUGGGAGAGAAAGCCCUACCCCUUUACCGCCUCCUUCGGCGCACCGAACACUUCAAAUGGACGGACGUAGCCACGGUCGGACUCGACGAAAUAAAAACCAUACUGGUAACAAACCCAGUCCUGGCCGCGCCAAACAUUGGCGAACCAAUGCUAUUAUACAUUGCAGCAACACAUCAGGUUGUAAGCGCAGUGAUCGUCAUGGAACGAGAAGCGGAUGGACACAAAUUCCCCCUUCAAAAGCCGGUCUAUUAUGUGUCCACUGUCCUCACUCCCUGCAAAUCACAGUACCCGCAUUAUCAAAAGAUUGCGUACGCGGUAUUCAUGGCAUCCCGGAAGCUACGACACUACUUUCAAGAGUGUUCAAUAACAGUAGCCUUGGAAGUAUCACUUAAUGAUAUUAUAAACAACCGUGACGCAACGGGCCGGAUUGUGAAAUGGGCCAUCGAGCUCCUCCCGUUCGACAUAACUUAUAAGCAACGACGAGCCAUCAAGUCACAAGUCUUGGCCGACUUCGUCGCAGAAUGGACGGAGGCCGAACUCCCUAAAGAGUACGACACAUAUUCAAAUUGGAUCAUGCAUUCCGACGGCUCCAAGAUGUUGGUCGGACUGGGGGCUGGCGUCGUUUUGACGUCCCCCACAGGAGACACAGUUCAAUACGUACUACAGAUUAUGUACACGGACUCCAACAAUGCAGCCGAAUAUGAGGCCCUUUUACAUGGUCUCCGGAUGGUAGUAUCCAUGGGCAUCCAAUGCCUAGAGGUGCGCGGGGACUCGAACCUCACAAUAUCCCAAAUAAAUGGAGACUUCGAUGCCAAGGAUCCAAAAAUGGCAGCUUACCGCAACACCAUCCUAAAAAUGUCAGCUCGGUUCGAGGGGCUUGAAUUUCACCAUAUAGCCCGAGAAAAUAAUCAGGCGGCAGAUGUCCUGGCACGCAUCGGCGCAAAACGCGAUGUAGCCCCCCCCCAACAUCUUUUUGGAAAGGUUGUUCAAGCCAUCCAUAGCAUGGGAAGGGGGGCCGAACAAUAACAGCCCGGACCCAACCGCACUGCCCGACACCGAACAUUCUGACAAAUCGGAGGCUCUGCCAAUGAAAUAACACCUUCAGCCCACGUAAUAAUGGUCGUCAUCGCCCCAUGGACAGAACCAUUCCUCGCCUACCUUACUAGGCAGGAACUCCCCGAGGACCAAAAUGAGGCACGCUGCAUAGUGCGGCGAUCCAAAGCCUACAGAGUCCACGAGGGAGAGCUUUAUAAGAAAAGCACUACCGGAGUCCUUUAAAGGUGCAUCUCUGAAGAGGAGGGGCGGAAUCUCCUGGCUAAAAUUCAUGCCGGACUCAGCAGUCAUCACGCUGCAGCCCGGUCCCUUGUAAGCAAGGCCUUUCGUAUAGGCUUUUAUUGGCCGACGGCCCGGGCAGACGCUCAGGAUUUAGUCCGACGAUGCACCGGUUGCCAGCUCUUUGCAAACCAAAGCCAUAUGCCACCCAUCGCCCUCCAAACCAUCCCCAUUACUUGGCCCUUCGCGGUAUGGGGGCUUGACAUGGUUGGACCCCUUCAAGGCGGAACCCACAAGCAAAAAUACUUACUGGUCAUGGUGGAUAAGUUCACCAAAUGGAUAGAAGUCAAGCCUGUUAAGACGGCCGAAUCCGGACCGAUGAUAGACUUUAUAUCCGGGGUUGUACACUGUUACGGCGUCCCCCACAGCAUCAUCACCAAUAACGGCACGAACUUCACGGCCGACGAGGUAAAACUCUGGUGCAAAAACACUAGUGCAGAACCGGGCAAUAGCACCGGUUCGUAAGGCCCUUUAGUGUCGGUUCCAUAACCGGCACUAAAGUGUGGUCACUAAAGCCCCCCCCCUUAGUACCGGUUCAGCACGAACCGGUGCUAAAGGGCAACCAUGUGGCACGAGCCAGCUCCGGGGGCCAGGAUCCCUUUAGUACCGGUUGGUAACACCAACCGGUACUAAAAUGUUUGGGGGGUUUUUGUUUUAUUUUGUAUUUUUCAAUUAAAUUUGUGUUAUCAAUUUAAUUUAGGAUUGUUUUACGUUAUAAUGAGUUGUAGUCGUCAUCAUCAUCAUCAUCAUCAUCAUUGCAUAUUAAUAAAUAAAUAAACUCUAGCUAGCUAAAAAUCAUCGUAGUCGUCUAAUAACCACUAUUUAAUCAUCAUAGUCAUUACCGCUAGCUAUCUAAUCAUCACCAACACUGGCUAGCUUAAAGAGGAAACAUUCACUUUGUAACAG